rnacentral:lncRNA from 1 species
AAGGAGUGGUCCGAUAAGGAGAAAAUGAAGACGUGGAAUGUGAUCAGCUUACGUUGUCCUCAUAUUAUAGCUAACCUUCCUAAGGAGAUGGAGUGUUCAGGACUUUCCUUUUUCCAUAUGGCCUAUGAUGGCGCGGUUAAAAUUCCUCUCAAUUUCUUCAAACAAACCGAAGGCCUCAAAGCCUUAGAUUUGGUCGGAAUGCAGUUUCAAUCCCUCCGUAAAUCAAUUAUUCACCUUGCAGACCUUCGCAUGUUGUGUCUGAAAAAAUGUGCAGUUGAUGACAUAACCAUCCUUGGAGAGCUCAAGAGUUUACAAGUACUCAACCUUUCUCAGUCAGGUAUCAAAGAACUACCUAAGGAGAUGGCACAAUUGACUCAAUUAAGGUUGUUAGAUUUGAGUUGGUGUAGAGAACUCAAAAUCAUCCCACCGAAUGUCUUAUCAGGUUUGUCUAAAUUAGAAGAAUUAUAUAUGGAUGAAAGCUUUGUUGAAUGGGAAAAGGGAGGAGUAGUUGAAAAUGAGAGGAAAAAUGCAAGCCUUGAUGAAUUAGAACAAUUUGCCUUGUCUAACUACUUUAUAUGUUCAUAUUCUUGAUCUCCAAAUGAUACCAAAACACUGGUUUGUUGAAACAUUGGACAGAUUCAGGAUUUUCGUGGGUAAUUAUGGAAUAUUUGAUUGUUGCCUUAAUUAUGAAUCUCCGAAAGCAUUGAAGCUCAAGUUAUAUACAAACAUUGAUUUGGACAAUGGGAUGAAAAAGUUGUUGAUAAAGACAGAAGAUUUGUGCCUAGAGGGACUUAAAGGCGUCAAGAAUGUACUUGUGAAGUUAAAUAAUAGGAAAGAUCUUCUAAAUUUAAAGAGACUUCAUGUCAAAAAUGGUAGGCAUGUCCAAUAUAUUAAAACGAACAAAAUUGGAUUUUCUGAAUUAUGCUUCAUCACACUUGAAAAUCUACCGCAACUCGUUAGCUUUUGCUCUCCAGACGAAAGGUGUUCCACUAUGCCCUUCCUACUUUUCAAUAAACAGGUAUUUGUUUGGCUUUACUUAUAUUUCCUUAUACAACUUUUAUUUAUAUGCCCAUUAAUACUUCUAAUAAUAGAAAUAAAUAAUAUUGUCUAAUGGUUUUUCCGAGCUCAAAAAUAAAUUUCAAAUCCAAAACAAAUGAAAAUUUAAUUUUUAAUCCAAACCGAUUGAAAGUACAAAGUCAAUUCAAUAAUCUAAAUUUAAACCUAACAUUUUUUUUUAAUUCUGAAAAUGAAAUUUGAGCCCACAAAUCGAGCUAAAAUUAUCUUUAAAAUCGAAAAUCAUAUUUUCAAAUUAUGUUACAUACUAUCUUUCCCUAUCGAAAAAGAAUUGUGUGUAAAUAUGUGCAAUUUAUUUUCCCUCACUUGGAAAGCUUGUAAUUGUGUUCCAUUAACACCAAAAUAAUAUGGCACAACCAGACAUGUCAUUGGGUUACGAAUUUGAGGAGCUUGAUCAUCAAAGGAUGCGGCAAGUUGGAGCAUCUGUUAUCACUUUCUCUCGCUAGAAGUCUGGUGCAGCUCCAAUGCUUUGAGAUAAAGGAUUGCAACUGCUUAAGGGACAUAAUACUUACAGAGGAAAUUGAAGAAGAAAGGAAAGAUGUGAUUUGUUUCCCUCGAUUAAACUCCCUGCAUAUAGUGGGUCUUCCAAACCUCAUCUUCUUCAACUCAGGAAACCACAAUAUUGAGUUCCCAUUGUUGAAAGUGCUAAAGAUUGAGCGUUGCCCCAAUUUUAUAGAAUUCAUUAGUCAGAGUAGUAAUCAGUCUGGCAUGCACGCUCUCUUCAGUGAGAAGGUGAUUUAUUUCAGUAGUCUUACACUCUUGCAUAAAUCUGUUGAUUUGUCCUUGUUAUUUUGUCUGGCAUUAUAUGAGCUAACUUUUGUACUGGCACGAAUUUUAAAUAGGUUGCAUUUCCUAGGUUGGAAAAGAUGACAAUCAAAAAGUUGAGAAAUGUGAAAAUGAUGUUUCAUAAUAACUUUGCACCAGGUUCUUUUCAAAAUCUACGAGUAAUAAGAGUUGAGGGAUGUGGGAGUCUGAAAAAUCUAUUUCCAGUGUCAAUAGCCAAAGAUCUUCCACAACUUGAAGAUUUAUGCAUCACUAAUUGUGGAGUGGAGGAGAUUGUAUCGAAAGGGGAAGGAGUGGAGGAGCAGCCUGUGAGGUUUGAGUUUCCGCAAGUGUCUUCCCUUGAGGUUACAUCCCUAAAAGAGCUCAAAUGUUUCUAUGAAGGGCAACAUACAAUAGUCUGGCCCCUGUUGAAAAAAUUGAAAACAGAUUGUUCUGCUUUGCUAAAGAUAGUGGCUUCGGAACAUCUUAGAUUAAUCCAAGGAAAUGAGCAGCCAGUUUUGUUGGUUGAAGAGGUAUGUAUAUCAUUACAACUAUAUUUCUUUUUAUGAUUUAAGCCACCGUCACAUCCAUCUCUUGUUGAUAUAUAUAUUAUUUGAAACGGUGGUUGCUUAUCCAUUUUAAUUCGGAUUUUUUAUGCACUUCUUUCAGCUUAUUUUUAUCAUUUUUUUAUUUCUAAGGUAUUGUGCUUUCUUAAAACAAAAUAUUCAUCUAUUUUGGAUUGGUUUGAUUUAAUAUUGAUUUUGUUGAGAUUUAAUCAUCGAUAUCAAACACCAAAAUUGUAGAUCUUAUGUUCUUUUUAAGCAUAUAGAUCAACAUUGUGCCUAACUUGUUUAUGUUUAAAUGGUUUCAAGGUCAUUCCCAAUUUAGAGGAACUUGAGUUAUUAAAUUGGGUAAACUACACCCAUGAUCACUUUUGUUUACCUUAGGUUACGUUUUAGUCACUUUUGUUUGAAAUGUUACGUUUUAGUCAUUUACGUUAUCAUGUUGUAACAUUUUAGUCACUGAGCCAUUAAUCGUCGUUAAUGGUGUAACGGUAAGCUGACGUGGCACGUUAAAUCAUCAUUUCAAACAAAAUUUUAGGUUAAAUUAUACAAUUGAUCCCCAUAUUUUUUUCGUUUUAAGUAAUUUAAUUUUUUUUCUUUUAUGUUCUUUAAACUUUCCUCUUUUUUUCCAUUCUCUUUUGUUUCUCCCUCUGUUUUCAUACAUUUCUCAUUUCUUUUAACAUAUUAGGAAGUCGAAUUGGCAAUGAAAAAGAAGUAGGAAGUCGACUGUCAUUAUUUGCCUAUAACCAAAACCCAUAAACCCAUACAAUGCUUCUUUCUUUACUACCAAUUCGACUUCCUGGUAUGUUAAAAGAAAUAAAAAAGGUAGAAAAACAGAAGAAGAAGAAGAAGAGAAUGGAAAAGAAAAAAGAAAAAAAGAAAGAGAAAGUUAAAAGAACAUAAAAGAAUUAAAUUGCUCAAAAUGAAUAAUUAUGGGGACCAAUUGUAUAAUUUAACUUAAAGUUUUUGUUUGAAAUGAUGAUUUAACGUGCCACGUCAGCUUACCAUUACACCAUUAAUGACAAUUAACGGCUCAGUGACUAAAAUGUUACAACACGAUAACAUAAGUGACUAAAACGUAACAUUUCAAACAUAAAUGACUGAAAUGUAACUUAAGAUAAACAAAAGUGACCAUGGGUGUAGUUUACCCUAUUAAAUUUUGGUGAUAUGGACCAGUUUCCACCAGCCUUGUUUCAAGAUAUUAAAGUUUUUGUUGUGUGUGGUGGCUCUCGAUCUUCUAUAUUUCCUUUCGUCCGAAGAUUUUACAAUUUGGAUAGUUUUUGGCUUUUUGGUUUUGAUUUCAAAUACGUAGUCCCUUGUAAAGGAGACGUUGGGACUCUCACACCAAUUAGAAAUCUGAUGCUGGAUCGUGCAAUGAAUCUUUAUCAUAUAUGGAGGAAAGAUUUGGAGUUUGACCAUAUUCUUUCUAAUCUCCAAAAACUCGAAGUUUGGGAAUGUGAUGAUUUGAUAAAUAUUACAGUCUCCUCCUCAUCUUUGCAAAAUCUCACAACUUUGGAUGUGUCAUUUUGUCAAAUGAUGACAAACUUAGUUACACCCUUAGUGGUUAAGAAUCUUGUGCAAUUAACGAGAAUGAGUGUGGCGGGGUGCAGUAAAAUGACAGAAAUAGUGGGAAAUGGGGGAGACUGCCAUCAGACAAUAGUUGUGAGUAAAUUGAAAUGUUUAGAACUAAGCUAUUUAGAGAGCCUCACAAGCUUUUGUUCAAGGAAUUACACCUUCAACUUCCCUUGUUUGGAAGAAUUAGUUGUGGAACGCUGUCCUAGAUUAAAGACCUUUACUGAAGGAGUUUUAAGCACCCCACAGUUACAAAGAGUAAUACAGUCGCGUUACCCUGAGAAAUGGAGUUGGGCAAGUGACUUAAAUACCACCAUACAACAGCUCUACACGGAAAAGGUACUAAAUUAAUAAGUUCAUAAAACUAGUUAGCUUCUUCCUGUCCUAAUAAAAUUAAUUUUAUUAAUACUUCAUUAAUCAUUGAAGAGUGUUUAUCGUUAUUUUGUUAUUGUUUGCAUUUUCUAUUUGUGAUUGCUAUCUAGUGGAAUAAUAUUAUAAAUUUUUUUUUAGGAUGGAUUCUAUGACGGAUACAAUUUGGACAUCUCUGACACAAUUCCCAAGUCAAUAGAAAUAUGGAUUAGAAACCCUCAAGAAAUUUUGGGCUUCAAAAACCUUGUUUCGUUGCAUUUUUAUAAAUGUAGUAGCUUGAAGUACGUAUUUACUUCGUCUAUGCUUUUGAGCCUCAAUCAACUACAAUGGAUAAAAGUAAAAGAAUGCAGUUCAAUGGAACAAGUGAUUAGGGAGGAAGCAAUGACAGAUAAAUUCACAUUUCUUGCACUCUUCUCCAUAAGAAUUGAGUUGUGUUCCAACUUGACAAAUUUCUAUUUGGGAAGUCAAGCUCUUGAAUUUCCAGAGUUGUAUGAAAUCGCAAUAUUUGAGUGUCCAAAAAUGACUACAUUUUCUUCCUCGGUUUCAAGAGGAGGUGGUGAUGCAAGUGAAAACGUGGUUGGCGAGGGGGGCGUCUAUGAUAACCCUGCAAUUUUUUUCAGCAAUAAGGUAAGUUUAGUAUUCAAUAUUUAUCUGCACAACUUAUUUCACAUUUUCCUUUUAUUUGAUUAAUUUAUAUGAGUGUGUCUGGUCUAUAUAUAUAUAUAUAUAUUAGUGUUAAUGUCACGUGAUACGUGUUGAAAAAAAUUAAUAUAAUAAAAUCCAUAAAAAUAUUAAUAAAUAAGAUAAUGUUUUUUAAUUUGAAGUUUAAAGUAUAAAUAAAUAUAUAAAAUAAGAAUAAAGGAAAAACUUGAAAGUGAAAUACUAAUAAACAAUAAGAAUUUAAGAGAAGUUUUAAAGUUAAUACUAAUGGACAAUAAAUAAUAAAAUAAUAAUAGAAAAUAAAAUAAAAAACUAAUCUUCAUCUAUUUUAAUUUGAAGAAUAUUUGAUGUAUUGGUGGUACACAAGUUUCAUGUAUCAUCGGUGAAUAAAAACAUACAAUUAUCAUUAAAUACCACAAAAAUAUAGUAAAGGGUUAUAAAUAAAUACUAAUAAAUUUAUGUAAACAUAAUUAAAUAAAAAUUAAUUAUAAUUAAAUGUUAAAACCCUAAAUCCUAAACUUGAAAUUCUAAGCCCUUAAACAUAAGAUCUUAAAUCCGAAAGUUAUUAAUAUUUAUUUAUAAUAGCUACGACUAGUGUUAAAUAAAUUUUUCAUCUUUUUUAACUUUUGAACUUGCAUUUUUGUCAAAUCACCUUAAAAUGAAUGAAAAAGUUUAUGUUUGUUAACUUCGCUUAUGUGGCAAUCCAUGUGUAUGCAAAAUUAGCAAUUAAUUAAUUUUAAAAUAUUUUAUAUAUUUUUAAAUAUUUUUAUAAAAUUUUCAAAAUAAAAUAAAAAUUAAUUGUUGACAUGUCAUCUACGGGCAAUCCAAUGUAUAUAACAUCAGCAAAGUUAACAAAUGUCAAUUUUUUUUCUCUGCUUUGAAUGAUUUGACAAAUAACACAAGUUCAAAGGAUAAAAGAAAUAAAAAUUAAAAUAGAGAGCUAAAAUGAAAUUUUUUUAGAAAGUUGGAGGGUUAAAUAAAUUAUCUAUGCCUAACUCUUAAAAAAGGUAACUCAUUAAAUAACUUAAGUAAUUAAUGUAAAUCGUUAAUGGAAACUACAUAAAUAUGUGAGUCCAACUUAAUUAGAAACAAGCAUAUUCCCCUGUCGAAUUGCAUCAAUAAUAAUCAUUCAACAAUCAUUAUAGUAUAUAUGAAAGCUCUAAGUUGUAUAGAAAAAGGCUUCUUUCUUUAAAAAGAAAAAAAAACAAGUUUUGCUUUAGGUUAGAUUUAUGCUGCUGAACAUUUUAUCUAAAUAAAAAAGGUCCACGUCUGCUAGCUAUAUUUAUCAGUUUAUAAAUCUUCAUACUCAUCUACUCUUUUUGAUUGUGUUUGUAAGUAAAGAAGGAAGAGUUAUGGUGUUAUCUUAUAAUGAAAUUUAUGUCAACAGGUUGUCAUUCCUUGUUUGCAGCAUCUGGAAUUGUCCUUCGUUAACAUUCAUGAGAUAUGGCACCACCCAUCCUCCCCAUCCAUCAGAUUCCUAAAUUCCUUGCAAGUGAAGAGGUGUCACAAUUUGAAAUACCUGUUCCCAUCUUUCUUGGUAAAAGAUCUUGUGCAACUCCGACGCCUUGAAAUUUUGGACUGUAAUAUGAUGGAACAAGUAAUAUUCACGGAUGGAUUGGUUGAAGAACAUCAAGGGAGGAAUCAGAUGUUUUUCUCUGAACUAGAAUUGCUGUGGCUAAAAGACCUUCCCAAACUCACAAGUUUCUGCUUUGAGAAUUACUUUGAAUUCCAAUGUUUGACAGAUUUAGAACUAACAAAUUGUCCAUUGCUAAAAACAUUGAUCACUAAAUGUGUAUCCGAAGGUGAACCUGAAAUUGGCCAACAUGUACAAGCGAGUAACUUGGAGGUUCAUAACUCAUCUCUCCUCAAUGAAAAGGUCAUUUCUUUACGGGUUCUCCUUUUAAUUUAUGUUGCUUCGAUUGAUCUUAUUCAUUUGAAGUUCUUUCUUUUCCAUGCAUAUUUCAGUUAUUAACCUAAUGAAAUUGUAAUACCCAAUUUUAGCCCGGGCUCACAUAUGGAAACAUAAUUUUUGAGGAUAUGCAAUCUUAUAUAUGAUAUGCAAUCCUAGACAUUAUAUGCAAUCUUAGAUAUGAUGUAUAAUCUUUGAUAUGACAUGCAAUCUUAGAAGAUAUGAUUUUGUAAUCUUAGAGAUACCCUUUAAUUUCAGCCAUUGAUGUAAUUGAUCUGUACCGUUGGAUUUGGGGAGACUCAACUAUAAAUAGAGGCCUCUCCCUUCAUUGUAAAAGUGGGGGGAAGAGAAAAAAAGGGAAGAGAAAAAAAGAGGAAGAGGAAUAAAAAAGAGAAUGAUUGGCAGUUUUUAAAGGUGGCUUACUAUUUUUUUUCUUUCGAUUAUUUUUUUACUUAUUUACGAUUUUAAAAAGGAGAAGAAGGUGAUACCACUGUGAAUUUUAUUUAUUUAUUUUAUUUAGCCCCUCCGCCUUUUAAUGUUUUUGUAAUUAAGUUUUUUUUCUUAAUUUAUCCUUUUAUUUAUUUUUAUUUCAAUUGGGUCUAAGUUGAACGGCGUCGUUUUAGAGGAGAAGGGAAAAUUUCCCUUCCAGCCCCUCUAUGUAAUUCGCGUGUUCAAAUUAAUCCUUUUACUUUUAUUUAUUUGCGAAUUUACCCCAGUUUUUUUAUUGCAAUUCAAUUUAGUUUUUCUUUUCUUUCUUUUCAUUUAUUUUAUUAAUUAAUAACGUAAUCAUCUUUUUUAUUUUUAUUUUUUUAAAAUCUAUACAUGUAUAUUUUUAUGCACAUUUUUUUAAACUUAUAUUUUUCUCAGAUUUAUAUAUAUAUGUACGUAUAUAUAUUUUUUAAUGUACUCAUUAUUUAACUGUUUUUUAUCUAUAUAUAUUCCUUUUAUAUGUACGUGUAUAUAUUUAUUUUUAACGAAUAUUUUUCCUAUAUUUUUUUAAAUGAAUAUUUUCAUCUUUAUAUGUAUAUAUUUAUGAUUUUUUAAAAUGAUUAAAUACUCACUUUUCCUUUUAAAACACACCCUUUUUUAUUAUUUUAUAUAUGUACGUAUAAUUAUAUUUUUCUUUAUUUUCAUAAGUAUAUUAUGUAUUAUAUAUAUGUAUAAAUUCUAUAACCCAAAAUUUUAUUUGUAUAUUAUAUUUAUAUUUUUAAUCUUCAUAACUUUCAUGUGUAUAUUAUAUGUCUUCUAAUCUUUAUUUAUUUUGUUUGCUAUCCCAUCCAUUGUAUAAUUGUCUUUACAUUUAAUAUUUUGCAUGUCAUGGAUUACCUUUUUUUAUUUCGUUUAUUCAUUUGCUUAUAUUAUUUUUAUGUCGAUGAUGUAUUUAUUAUUAUUAUUAUUAUAGCAUUUGUAUGUAUAAAAUCACGUUACAUCAUUUUUUACUCAAAUUUAAAGAUAGAAAAUUUUUUAAAAUUGAGAUAAUGUUCGUAUUUGAGAUUUUCAAGGGAAUUGAGCCCUAACGUAUUGGGUUCUGAUUUUCUUCGUUAAAUCCGACAAUCGAGCAUUUCUCUUCAAUCAAGAAAAUAAUAAAAACUCAUUAUUGGGAAUUCAACACGUUGUGUCCUAACGUAUUGGAUGUGACGCAUUGAUUUCUCGAAAUGAAGAUUUUUUUUUAAAAUCAUGAAGGAAAUAUUCCGAGUUUGAGAUUCUAAAGGAAUUGUGCCCUAACGUAUUGGGUGUGAUUUCUUAAAUCUUGGAUAAGUGGAUGUUCUUUUAAAGUAAAGGAAAUAUUCCGAGUUUGGGAUUCUAAAGGGAUCGUGCCCUAACGUAUUGGGUGUGAUUUCUUAAAUCUUGGAUGAGUGGAUGUUCUUUUAAAGUUUUAUUGUAUAAGUAUUCUGACCUAAUUCAUUUUGGAGGAAAUUAGAAUGUUGUGCCCUAACGUAUUGGGUGUGGCAUUUUUGCUUCUCUGAAUUGAAAAGGGUCUUAAUAUGUAACGUUUUAAGUUUUUAAAGAUUAUAUUUUUAAAAUUUUCGACCUUAAGGCAUUAAUUAAUUAACUAGGUACCAAUUUUUGGGCGUAAUGAGGGUGCUAAUCCUUCCUCAUGCGUAACCGACUCCCGGACCCGUUCUUCUAAAAUUCGUAGACCAAAGUCGUUUUUAGGUGACCCAAUCACACCUUAAUAAAAGAUUGGUGGCGACUCCCAAUUUCAUUUUUUUUUAAGUCGACAACCUAAAAUUUUUGUUUUUCAAAAAUGGUUUCGACAGAAAUGAUUUAGCAGGUUGUUUUCCCUAGUUUGGAGAAGUUGCGGAUUCAGAAUUGUGAUUCGUUAGAACAAAUUAUUGAGCUGCAAGGAGUCAUUGCUGAUGAGUCACAGUCAACAUCAGCUACUCAGUCUAUUAUGGCUGAAACAGAGACGACCAAGUUUGUAUUUCCCAAACUAAUAAACCUCGGAUUGGAUAAGGUGCCGAGAUUGAAAAGUUUCUACUCUAGGAUGCAUACCACCCAGUGGCCUUCAUUGAAACAAAUGGACAUUAUUGAAUGUCCCAAAGUACAGAUAUUAACUCCACAAUGUCCUGAGUGUCAGGUUGGAAUCUCAAACCAACAACCCUUGUUUUGCGUCAACGAGGUGAGCUCACUAAUAGUUUCAUACUCCAUGUUCAUUACUUGAGAUUACCUAUAAAAUGCCUUUUGAAAUAACUAAUAUUCUCACCUUCCUUUUAAAUUUAUGAGAAAUAAAAUGGAAAUGAUAUCCAUUCUGUAGUCUAGUUCUUACCAAUUCAAAACUCUUUGAUCAAUGUUUAAUAUAUUCGUUGCCAUCCAGGACACUUUCCCUAUAUUAGAAGAACUGACACUAAAGACGAAUGAUAUGGUGAAGGGGAUAUGUGAUGGACAGCUCUCAUUGCAGUGUUUCCAAAACCUUAAACUUCUUAACCUCCAAUUGUUUCCUGAGGCAUCCACUACUCUUCCAUAUUCAUUCAUUCGGUCACUACCAAUGCUUCAUAAGCUUGUUAUAGACAAUGCUUCCAUUUGUCAAAUAGUACAAUCUGAAGGACUCAGCUACGACGAAAGGAAUACAUCAGUGUUCUAUCAGCUAAAGGAAUUAAGUUUGUGUCAACUUCCAGAGUUGACGUUAAAGACUUUUGAACCAUCUUUGCUGUCUUUCAAAAAUCUAACAACACUGGAAGUUUCAAGCUGCCAUGGGUUCAUCAAUUUAAUCGCAUGCUCAACAGCUAAGUGCCUGACGCUACUGGAAAGAUUGAGCAUAGAUGAUUGUGGGAUGAUUGAGGAAAUCAUAGCGUGUGAGGCUGAAGAAAUGCAAGGCGGCAUUGUAUUUCCCAAACUGCAGUAUUUGCAACUAAGCUGUCUGCCAUGUCUAGCAAGCUUUUCCUUGGCCCAUCACUUGUUGGAAUUCCCAGUCUUGCUAAUGGUGAAGGUGACAAAGUGCUCCAAAAUGAGGAAUUUCUGCCAAGGAGAUUUAAGCACACCAAGGCUGGAACAAAUGCACUUAACAAGAGAUGAGGAAGGUGAACUGCAGUGGGAAGGCGACCUUAACACUACCAUAAAACAUAUGUUCGAUGAAAUGGUACAAAUCAUUUAAAGGAUUUAAAUUCAUGUGUUUUUACAUACAUACAUAGUUAACUGAAUAAUUCUUGGUUUGUUAUGAUCAUGCACAGAAUGUGCAAAAUUUGGAGGUGACGGAGGUUACUGAUCAGUUGCCCAAGCUGGAAUAAGGAAAUAUGUUUGGGUGCUUAUGCGAAAAGCUCAGUUUCGUUUCAAAUAAAAACAAAUGGUAAUUGACUUCUAUUUCAUUAUGGCUUAACUAAUGCUUUAUAAAGUGACCAUAGAGACGCCCUUUCUAUUGUAGGUUGAGUUGCUCUACUGAAGCACAUGGCUGCAUCUGUUGGUAGAACGUGAAAGGUUAUUUCAGUUUUUGUAAAACUACAAUUUGAACUGUUCCAUUUCACAACAUAACCUCAAUAUUGAAUUUCAAGUGCAUCAUGCAUGACAUUGGGAACUACAAACAUGCAAACUUUUACUAGUAAGGUUGACCCCUGUUUUAAUAUUCGAAUUCUUCUUAAAGGUGGAUGGAUUUGCCAACUUUUGAUGGUUACCAUAUCAAUAUCAGCUUGGGGUUUAGACGAUGUGAUUAAGAUUGCUAUACAUACUGUGUUUGUGCUUGUGUCAUCUUUCUUGUUCUCUCUAUAAAGAUUAUUACGUACUUAUUUCUAUGCAAUCUCACAAUUUUCUGAUGAAAAAAGUUAAAGCUAAUAACUCCAUUCCCAAGUUUCCCAUAUUCAUCCUCACAAAAACAUAAAUGAUAAAAACCCCAUUUCUCUUUUAGUCAAUAGGAGAAACAAUCUAAAGUUAGAAUAAAACAAACCAAUGCCAUGUUUAUAUUGAAUUAAAUCGCAUGCAUACAUGUAUCAAUUGUUCUGUAGUGAACAGCAGUCACGUUAUAUUCAACUAUGGCAUCUCCAUCUUAUUAAACCAAGCUACAAUGUGAUUAUUCAAGUGCUAUCCAUGUGAUUAUUCUUAUAUUUAAAUAUAAUAAGUUCAUUUAAUAAUUUUUAUAAUAAAUAUAAUAAUUCAAUCAAUAUCAAUUAAGCGAAUUUUUAAUCAAUCAAUUGAAUUUAAUCUGAUUAUAAAAAGUCAAUAAUCCAAACUUAUUCAAUUCGGAUUCAAAUGAACUUGAAAGGGAUUUAUUGGAAAAUUCAAUCUUCAAACUCAAGUGAUUUGAAUUUUGUUAGGGAUUGACCCGGUUAAGCAACGAACAAGUAAAAAUAAGGAAAGAAAUUAAGAAAUUGAACACACAAAUUUAACAUGUUAAAACCCCUCCAAAGAGGAUAAAAAAUCACGAGUAAAGAUAAUUUUACUAUGAUGGCAAAAGAAUGAAGAGUAUAGAAGAUGAAGAUAAAAACUAAAUCCCAAAAACCAAAUUCAUAGGUCAAAUAAUAAUAAAAUAAUCUAGAUUAAUCAGAGUUUGAUUAAAAUAAAUAAAUACAAUCUAACUAUUGAUAACAAGUGCUAUCCAUGUGAUUAUUCUUAUAUUUAAAUAUAAUAAGUUCAUUUAAUAAUUUUUAUAAUAAAUAUAAUAAUUCAAUCAAUAUCAAUUAAGCGAAUUUUUAAUCAAUCAAUUGAAUUUAAUCUAAUUAUAAAAAGUCAACAAUCCAAACUUAUUCAAUUCGGAUUCAAAUGAACUUAAAAGGAAUUUAUUGGAAAAUUCAAUCUUCAAACUCAAGUGAUUUGAACUUUGUUAGGGAUUGACCCGGUUAAGCAAUGAACAAUUAAAAAUAGCAAAAGAAAUUAAGAAAUUGAACACACAAAUUUAACAUGUUAAAACUUCUCCAAAGAGGAUAAAAAAUUACAGGUAAAAAUAAUUUUACUAUGAUGGCAAAAGAAUGAAGAGUACAAAAGAUCAAUAUAAAAACUAAAUCCCAAAAAUCAUAUUGAUAGGUCAAAUAAUAAUAAAAUAAUCUAGAUUAAUAAGAAUUUGAUUAAAACAAAUAAACACAGUUUAACUAGAAUAUUAUUUCUCAAAUUUGACUGAAAUAGGAGUUAUACUCAACAAACUCAAACAUAAAAUUAUUACUUGGAUGUGAAUGAUUUGAAUUGAAAUGGUGUGAGGCCCCAUUAUGCUGUCAGCGAAAUCUAAAGAUUGGGGCCCCAAACCAUUCAAAUUCCAGGACUGUUGGAUGCAAGCUAAAGAGUUAGAUCGACUUAUUCAUGAUCGAUGGAAGGAAAUGGAGGUUCACGGCCAGGCAAAUCAGGCCUUGAGAAUGAAACUAAGUCCUUUAAAGUGUUCUCUGAAAAUGGAACAAAAAUUUCUUUUGGUAGUUUGGAUCAUAGAAUCCACUUGAUAGAAAAUGAAGUGGAGGAUGUUGAUAAAAGGGGCGAUAUUUCGGUCAUGACCGAGGAGGAUGUCAACCGUGGAAAAGAGACUACGGGUGAAUUAUGGAAACUUAAUCGUUCUCGAGAAAUCUUAUGGAGACAAAAAUCUAGAGUAAAGUGGAUUGGGGAAGGCGACCGUAAUGCAAGUUUCUUCCAGUGCAAAGCCAAAUUUAGAGCUAGGAGUAAUUGCAUUGAAGGUCUGUUUGCGAGCGGAUUUCUUGUCCGAACUUAGUCAAAAAUGCAAUUUGGGAAUACUUCCGAAAACAGUUCUGUGGCGUUCAUUGGGACAAACCUACUUUAAGGGGUUCGGAUUUUACGAUAUCUUUGCUUCUUCCCAAUGGUCUCAAAGCAUGUUUUGGUGUUUGAGUCUGAUUCAAUGGUUGCGUUGACAGGCCUGCCUCCUAUGUGGCUUGGCUGUUGUUUAUUGCACCUUUGUACUUCAAAAUAAUUUCAACUCUUUCAAUCCGAAUUAAAUUGAUUCGAACUUUAAAUAAUGAGUGAUAAACUUAAAAUUAUCUUAUUAGAAAAUUUAAACUUCAAAAUAAAUUGAGUGACUUAAACUUAAAUUUAACUUUAAUAUGAAACUGAUUUGAAUCCAAAUGAUUUUAAAAUUUCUAAUUUCGAAUUAAUCUAUCUAGAUCAAAAACCAACUCUAGUUAUAGCUUGACCCAUCACAAAAAUAUAAAAGAUAAUUUGAGAACAUAUGAGGCAACUUGUAGGUAUGGUGUAUAUGUAAUUGGAUAAUUACCCUCUCCCUAAAAAAUUAUGUCGCAGCGUACUCAAUUAUAUAUCUAGGGGUUUUUUUUCCCUUUUUGAUGUGGGAUUAAUGACUUUAAUCAUGUGUCCUUAAAUGACUCAGAGUUCGGAAUCACGAGUGAUAAAAGGCUCUGGUGUUUAACAAUCAACUAGACUCAACCAGAGCUCGGUAAUCAGCUGGACGAACAGAGUAAGCGAUAUCAAACAUUAAGCGCAUAAUUUCAGAUUCUUUGGACUCCAGCCGAGCUAAAGCUAACAUAAGCGAAAGCUAUCAUAUCAAACGGCUCGAUGCAUUUGCCGAAGUAUAAUUUGGAAAAUGUUUUGGACUGUUUUGAGGAGCUUGGGUGAUGUUGGCCAUUCAUAACAAAUAUAAAUUUCCCAUGGUUUAAGUGCAUUUGUCCUUUUGUUUCUAUAGCAUGCGAUCUAGGGAGAGGUCGUGUUGAUACAUUGAAUCAAUGGAUGUGAAGAUGGAAGGGAAUGAAUUCUAAGAAAACACACCAAAGUUAUUGAUUUGAUGAAAAAAUAAAAAAAAUGUUGUAUAAUUAUAUUAAAAAUAACCCGACUCGAAAUCUGACCUAGGAUCCGACCCUAUAUAAUAGAAUUCUACAAACAUCCCAUAAAAAAAGAAGAAUCUUCUUCUUUAUGGCUAGACAAGAAUUCUCUCUUCUCCAUCUCCACAUCCGUUGAUCUAAUGAAUCAACAAUCAGCAGUAUUUUAGACUGUAUAUUUGAUUUAUAAUGUAUUAAUUAGUUCAAAUGAUUAAUAUAAUUUGAAAGCAUAUUUUUAAAUCUAAAAAGUAGAAUGGCUAAAUUCUUGAAAAUAAAAAUAGAGUAACUAAGUUUUAAAGGUACGAAAUAAGACCUUCAAGUAUAUUUUAACCUUCAAUUUUUUACUUUAUAAUUUGAUACAAAUAAAUAACCAAUCCAAUGUGAAACAUAAAUGGAUUAUACUAAUUAUUGUAAUAAUUAAAUUUUUUUUAAUGUCGUUUGUGAAAUUAAAUAACAACGUUAAAAGGCUAAUCCUUUUCACAACAUGCCUAUAUCCUCAUUUAAUAAAUGAUUUUAAUUUUGGGUAAACUACAAAAAUAGUCACAUUUGUUUGUCUCAGAUUACAUUUUAGUCACUUAUGUUUGAAAUGUUACGUUUUAGUCACUUACGUUAUCGUUUUGUUACAAAGUGAUCACUCUAUUGUUAAGCUCCGUUACCUCCCUAACGGCGGUCCUACGUGGCAGUCCAAAUGAGUUUUAAUUGUCAACUUGGAUGUCCUAUGUGACAGUCCAAAUUGAAUUUUAUUUAAGUAAAAACCUAUUUUCAUCCCAACAACUAGACAUCCAAGUUGGCAUUUAAAACCCAUUUGGACUGCCACGUAGGACUUCUAUUAGGGAGGUAACGGAUUUUAACAGUAGUGUGACCGCUUCGUAACAAAACGAUAACAUAAGUGACUAAAAUGUAACAUUUUAAACAUAAGUGACUAAAAUGUAAUUUGAGGUAAACAAAAGUGACUAUUUUUGUGGUUUACCCUUUAAUUUUUAUAUAAUUCUUCAUUCAACUUAAUGUAGUUCAAAGUUGAUUAUAGAGGUGAAACUAGGAAUUUUUUUUUUGGAUCAGGGUUAAAUUGUACGAUAGUAAAAAUAUAAUUUUAUCAUUUUAAUAGUCUAUAUUUUUAUAAUUUUUAAAGGAUUAACCAAAAUUUUAUUAUUUGGGGGUUAAAAUAUAAUUUACUAUUAUUAGUUUAAAAAAUUUUAAAGGAUUAACCAAUGUUUGACAGAUUUAGAACUAACAAAUUGUCCAUUGCUAAAAACAUUCAUCACUAAAUGUGUAUCCGAAGAUGAACCUGAAAUUGGCCAACAUGUACAAGCGAGUAACUUGGAGGUUCAUAACUCAUCUCUCCUCAAUGAAAAGGUCAUUUCUUUAAGGGUUCUCCUUUUAAUUUAUGUUGCUUCGAUUGAUCUUAUUCAUUUGAAGUUCUUUCUUUUCCAUGCAUAUUUCAGUUAUUAACCUAAUGAAAUGAUUUAGCAAGUUGUUUUCCCUAGUUUGGAGAAGUUGUGGAUUCAGAAUUGUGAUUCGUUAGAACAAAUUAUUGAGCUGCAAGGAGUCAUUGCUGAUGAGUCACAGUCAACAUCAGCUGCUCAAUCGAUUAUGGCUGAAACAGAGACGACCAAGUUUGUAUUUCCCAAACUAAUAAACCUUGGAUUGGAUAAGGUGCCGAGAUUGAAAAGUUUCUACUCUAGGAUGCAUACCACCCAGUGGCCUUCAUUGAAACAAAUGGACAUUAUUGAAUGCCCCAAAGUACAGAUAUUUACUCCACAAUGUCUUGAGUGUCAGGUUGGAAUCUCAAACCAACAACCCUUGUUUUGCGUCAACGAGAUGAGCUCACUAACAGUUUCAUACUCCAUGUUCAUUAGUUGAGAUUACUUAUAAAAUGCCUUUUGAAAUAACUAAUAUUCUCACCUUCCUUUUAAAUUUAUGAGAAAGAAAAUGGAAAUUAUAUUCAUUUUGUAGUGUAGUUAUUACUAACUGAAAACUCUUUGAUCAAUGUUUAAUAUAUUCGUCGCCAUCCAGGACACUUUCCCUGUACUAGAAGAACUAAUACUGAAGAUGAAUGAUAUGGUGAAGGGGAUAUGUGAUGGACAACUCUCAUUGCAGUGUUUCCAAAACCUUAAGCAUCUUAACCUCCAGUUCUUUACUGAGACAUCCACUACUCUUCCGUAUUCCUUCAUUCGGUCUCUACGAAUGCUUAAUAAGCUUGUUAUAGACAAUGCUUUCAUUUGUCAAAUAGUACAAUAUGAAGGACUCAGCGACCAGGAGAGGCAUACAUCAGCAUUCUAUCAGCUAAAGGAAUUAAGUUUGUGUCAACUUCCAGAGUUGAUGUUAAAGACUUUUGAACCAUCUUUGUUGUCUUUCAAAAAUCUAACAACACUGGAAGUUUCAAGAUGCCAUGGGUUCAUCAAUUUAAUCGCAUGCUCAACUGUUGGAACAUUGGCAGCAGCAAAAAUUAAGCAAGCUUACACAACAAAAUUUGCAAAACUGAAGCAAGAAGAAUCGAAGCAAAAAGAAACAAAGCAAAGCAAAGCAGUGAACAAAGUUGAAUAUUCAACAGAAUUGUAACUGAACAUCAUUAUUUUUCAUUUAAAAUUUGAAAUAUAAAAGUGUUACAAUUUGGUUUAAUUUGACAGUUACCUAAUAAUCUAACUACCUCCACUAAUGUUUAACUAAUACAAGCUUAAGUCACAUACAAAAUAAAUUGACAUAUCAGCUUUUACAUCAUCAAUCUAAUCACUAGCUUAAUCCUACUUGCUUUGUAAGCUAGUUAGAAGAGAACUAAACUAAAUAACAUUAAAACAAAACAACAAAAACUGGUUGCUUCAUUCGGUCCAAAAACCAAGCUUGCGCACCAAGCAAAAUGAGCUGAGCUCGAUAGCUGCUGCUGGUCUCGACAGUAGCUCGCUGCUGGCUUUAUGUUGCACUGCAGUCCAGCUCUCAACACUCCUCCUUGGACUGUAUGCAACACAUUCCAAUUGCACCUCUCAAUGAUUCAAAUCGAGCAGCCCCUAAGGGCUUGGUCAGUAUAUCAGCCAAUUGUGACCCUGAGCUGCAAUGCACAAGGCUGACUUCCUUUGCUUGUUCAGCCUCUCGAACAAAAUGCAGUUUAAUUUUAAAAUGCUUGGUUUUACCAUGAAACACAGGGUUCUUGGCUAUGGCAACUGCUGAUUUGUUAUCCACCCAAAUUUCAGUUGCAUCAGCUUGUGUUUCAUUUAGAUCCUGAAGCAGCUUCCUAAGCCAAAUGGCCUGAUUGACUGCUGUUGAUGCAGUAAUGUAUUCAUCUUCAGCUGUGGACUGAGCAACUGUUUGUUGCUUCUUUGAACUCCAGCAAAACAUGCCCGAUCCAAGUGUGAAGAAGUAUCUAGAGGUACUCUUCAUGUCAUCGAGGGAUCCUGCCCAGUCACUAUCAGAGUAGCCUUCUAGUUUCAGUUUCUUCCCAUUUUCAAACAUCACACCAAGGCUAGCUGUGCCUUUGAUGUAUCUAAGAACCCUUUUUGCAGCCUUCAAAUGUGUCUCAUUACAGCAAUGCAUGAACCUCGAUAGCAGACUAACACCAAACAUGAUGUCUGGCCUGGUUGCUGUUAGAUACAACAGACAACCUACUAGGCUUCGAUAGUGUCUCUCAUCAACCCUUUGCUGAUCACCACUACUGGUCAACUUUUCUCCAUGAGCCACAGGUGUACUGACUACUUUACAGUUAUGCAUGCAAAAUUUGCCUAGAAUCUUCAAAGCAAAUGUGUGUUGGCUGAUGAAGAUACCUCGAUCAGACUGGUGAACUUCCAUGCCAAGGAAGUAGUCAUGAUCCCCAAAUCUGUCAUCUCAAACACUUGCUGUAUUUGAACCUUGAACUCAUUAAUGAGCUCAACUUGGCUCCCUGUCACUAACAAGUCAUCUACAUACAAGGAGACAAUCAGCAAGGUUUCAAAUUCUGACCUCUUAACAUAUAGAGUAGGUUCACUAAGGCUCUUUACAAAUCCAAUCUUGGUCAGGUAAGCAUCAACUCUGUCAUACCAGGCCCUUGGUGCCUGUUUCAGGCCAUAGAGGGCCUUUCUCAACUUGUACACUUUAUCUUCAUGUUCAGCAACUUCAAAACCUUCAGGUUGCUCGAUGAAGAUCUCCUCCUUAAGAAAGCCAUUUAGAAAUGCUGACUUUACAUCCAAUUGAUGAACCCUCCACUGCUUCUAAGCUGCUAAAGCAAGCAGUAGCUUGAUUGUGUCCAGUCUUGCCACUGGAGCAAAAGUCUCCAAGAAGUCCACACCAUACUGCUGACUGUAACCUUUCACUACAAGCCUGGCCUUGUGCUUGUUCAGUGAGCCAUCAGUAUUGUACUUGGUCCGAUACACCCAUUUAACCCUAAUAACCUUCUUAUGUUCUGGUCUGCUCACCAAUUCCCAUGUUUCAUUCUUAUUGAUCAUUUCCAGCUCAGCUUCCAUAGCUUUCAUCCAACUUCUGUCCUUGGCAGCCUCUUCAAAGUCUGAGGGCUCAAUCACAGCAACAUUACACCUCUGAUAGACAUCAGCCAAAGUCCUGGUGCCCCUCACUGGUGCAUUAUCAAUAGCAUCAUCACUUGGUCCUUCUUCUGCAGGUUCAGCAACCAAGUCUAACUGGUCCAUUUCAGACCAACACCAUUCCAAUUCCACACCUUUUCCUCAUCAAACUUUACAUCACUGCUGACUAAGACCUUCUUUGCUGUAGGAUCAUACACUCUAUAACCUUUCUUGUUGCUGCUAUAGCCAACAAAGAUUCCUGGAGUGGCCCUGCUCUCGAGCUUGCUUCUCUUUUCCACUGGUAUAAGUGCAAAACAUACACAACCAAACACUUUCAAGUGUGUUACCAUAGGUUUGACUCCAUGCCAAGCCUCAAAAAGAGUCUUAUCCUUAACUGCUCGAGUUGGCAGUCUGUUGAGCAGAUACACUGAGGUGUUGACUGCCUCAGCCCAAAACUAGCUUGGAAGCUUGCCUUGAAACAAGAGGCACCUGGCCAUGUUCAGCACAGUCCUAUUCUUUCUCUCACAGACUCCAUUCUGUUGAGGAGUAUAGACUGUUGUAAGCUGAUGGUGAAUCCCAGCACUGUCACAAAGCUUCUGGAAUCUCUCAGACAUAUAUUCAGAGCCAUUAUCAGUCCUCAAGGCUUUAAUUUUACAGCCUGACUGAUUUUCAGCAUAUGCCUUGAAUUUACAGAAGGCCUCAAACACAUCUGACUUCUGCUUCAAGAAGUAGACCCAGCACAACCUUGUCAAAUCAUCUAUAAACAGGACAAAGUACCUGUUCUCAUUGAUUGAAGGUGUUCUCAUAGGACCACAAACAUCAGAGUGCACCAAUUCGAGCUUAUUUUGAGCUCUCCAAGCAUUGUCAGCAGGAAAAGGCAGUCUAGCCUGCUUACCAAGCUGACAAACCUCAAAAACAUUCCCACUAACCUCAAUUUUUGAAAUGUCUUCAACUAAAUUCAGCCUAUGUAGCAGAUCAAGAGAUCUGAAAUUGGCAUGGCCUAGUCUCCUAUGCCACAAGUCAGUGCUGUCAGCAAGGCUGGUGUAUGCCUUUCUUUCUACUUGGCUAACAUCCAGCAUGAAGCAUCUAUCAGUCAUAGAGACUGAGAUUAACUCCAGACCGUUCAUGUCUUGAACAGUACAGCAACCAUCCUUAAAUAACAAUGUAUAGCCCUUUUCAACUAAUUGGCCUACACUAAGCAAAUUCUGGUCUAAAUCAGGUACAAAAAGCACGUCUGAGAUCAGCUUGUUACCUGAACCAGUGCUAACCAGCACACUGCCCUUACCCUUAGCCUCAAUCAGCUUACCAUCUCCAAUUCCAAUCCUCGAGUGAAAGCUUCUGUCUAGGCCCUUGAACAACUUCUCAUCUGCUACCAUAUGGUGUGAGCAGCCACUAUCUAGUAGCCAAUCAUUCCUGGCCUUUGUUGUGCCAAAAAAAUAGGUUACUGUGAACACAUGCUCCACUUGAGCUUGCAUGUCCUCAGCUGGUCUAGGUUGUUGCAGAACAGCCUCCCUUGGUUUGCCCUUGCACACCUUUUCCACAUGGCCAAACUGCUUGCACUUUCUGCAUUGUAUGUCUGGCCUAAACCAACAAUACUUUUCUGAAUGUGUUGUCUUCUUGCAGUGAACACAUGGUGGGAACACCCUUUUUGCUUCAUCUCUUCCUGACUUGACCCUUCUAUUGUGCCAAGGCUUCUUACCUUUUGCAUUCACACUCGAGCCUUCACUGGCUUUAGCCUGUAAAACAGCUUCAGAAUUCUCUUCCUGUCUAUUUGCCCUCCUUUGCUCAAGUGCAUACAGGGAGUUUAUCAGCUCAGACAAAGAAAUGGCUGAUAAGUCCCCCGAGUCCUCAAGUGAAGAGAUUUUUGACUUGAAUUUCUCAGGGAAAGUUGUGAUGACCUUUUCAACAACUCUACUCUCUGUGAAGUCCACUCCCAGGAGCCUUAUGCUGUUGACAAUGGCCAUUAUCCUGUCUGAGUACUACUUGAUGGUCUCAGACUCUUUCAUCCUCAAGUUCUCAAAGUCUCUCCUGAGGUUGAUCACCUACUGUUGCCUUGUUUUGUCAGUCCCCAUGAACUCCUCCUUCCGCUUGUCACAGGCCUGCUUAGGUGAGUCACAGGCCAUGAUGCGAGUGAAUAUCACAUCAGACACUCCAUUCUGCAGACAGGCCAUAGCCUUGUGCUUCUUGGCUCGCUCCUCAACAUGCUGCCUCAUCUGUGCAAUGGUGGGAUUGGCUCUCAAUGGAGGUGGCUCAGCAUCAUUCUCGAUCACACUCCAAAGAUCAUGUGCCUGGAGGUAAGUCUUCAUUUUAACUAUCCAAAUGUGAUAGUUCUCUCCAGUGAACACUGGUGAAGGUGGUUGAGUGAAACUCAUCCUGCUAAACUGAGUUUAAGUGCUUCGAUCCUUUUAGUCUUAGGCUUUGCUGUUGGUUUUGAUUUAAACACAAUAGAAUGCAGAGGCCCCUCAAAGAUUCUGGCUCAUGAUGCCAUUUGUUGGAACAUUGGCAGCAGCAAAAAUUAAGCAAGCUUACACAACAAAAUUUGCAAAACUGAAGCAAGAAGAAUCGAAGCAAAAAGAAACAAAGCAAAGCAAAGCAGUGAACAAAGUUGAAUAUUCAACAGAACUGUAACUGAACAUCAUUAUUUUUCAUUCAAAAUUUGAAAUAUAAAAGUGUUACAAUUUGGUUUAAUUUGACAGUUACCUAAUAAUCUAACUACCUCCACUAAUGCUUAACUAAUACAAGCUUAAGUCACAUACAAAAUAAAUUGACAUAUCAGCUUUUACAUCAUCAAUCUAAUCACUAGCUUAAUCCUACUUGCUUUGUAAGCUAGUUAGAAGAGAACUAAACUAAAUAACAUUAAAACAAAACAACAAAAACUGGUUGCUUCAUUCGGUCCAAAAACCAAGCUUGCGCACCAAGCAAAAUGAGCUGAGCUCGAUAGCUGCUGCUGGUCUCGACAGUAGCUCGCUGCUGGCUUUAUGUUGCACUGCAGUCCAGCUCUCAACAUCAACAGCUAAGUGCCUGAUGCUACUGGAAAGAUUGAGCAUAGAUGAUUGUGGGAUGAUAGAGGAAAUCAUAGCGUGUGAGGCUGAAGAAAUGCAGGGCGGCAUUGUAUUUCCCAAACUGCUCGUAUUUGCAACUAAGCUGUCUGCCACGUCUAGCAAGCUUUUCCUUGGCCCAUCACUCGUUGGAAUUCCUAGUCUUGCUAAUGGUGAAGGUGACAAAGAGUCCCAAAAUGAGGAAUUUCUGCCAAGGAGAUUUAAGCACACCAAGGCUGGAACAAAUGCACUUAACAAGAGAUGAGGAAGGUGAACUACAGUGGGAAGGCGACCUUAACACUACCAUAAAACAUAUGUUCGAUGAAAUGGUACAGAUCAUUUAAAGGAUUUAAAUUCAUGUGUUUUUACAUACAUACAUAGUUAACUGAAUAAUUCUUGGUUUGUUAUGAUCAUGCACAAAAUGUGCAAAAUUUGGAGGUGACGGAGGUUACUGAUCAGUUGCCCAAGCUGGAAUAAGGAAAUAUGUUUGGGUGCUUAUGCGAAAAGCUCAAUUUCGUUUCAAAUCAAAACGAAUGGUAAUUGACUCUUCUAUUUUCAUCAUGGCUUAACUAAAGAUUUAUAAAGUGACCAUAGAGACGCCCUUUUCAUUGUAGGUUGAGUUGCUCUACUGAAGCACAUGGCUGCAUCUGUUGGUAGAACGUGAAAGGUUAUUUCAGUUGUAAAACUACUAUUUGAACUGUUCCAUUUCACGUUAUAACCUCACAAUUGUAUUUCAAGUGCAUCAUGCAUGGCAUUGGGAACUACAAACAUGUAAACUUUUACUAGUAAGCAAAAUAAAUAAAAAAAAAUCAUAAAUUAGAGUAUGAAUGUAAACAUAUUAAAGCAUACUUUUUGGUUUCACAAUUUAAAUGAUUUGAGUUAAUUUGAAGCCAUAAAAUAAGAUAAAUUCAAUUAUAAAUUCUGAUGUUUGAAAAUUUUUCAAUAAUAAUAAGUAAAUGCUUAAUGUAGUAAUUAAGAUUAUAAGGCAACAAGCUUAAUUAAGAGGAGUAUUUGUAAAUAUUAGUAAAAUUUACUGUAAAUAUUGUAUGAAAUAAGCAAAUUUAUUUAUUAAUUAACCAAAUUUAUCUACGGUAAAUAUUGUAUGAAAUAAGCAAAUUUAUUUAUUAAUUAACCAAAUUUAUUUACGGUAAAUACUGUAUGAAAUAAGCAAAUUUAUUUAUUAAUUUAAAAGAAAAUUAAUUUCCUGAUAAAAAAUUUAUAUUUCAAAAAAAAAUUAGAAAGAUUUAAUUUUUAAAUAAUAGUUCAAAACAAAUUUUGAAAAAAUGUGUUGUAAAAAUAUUCAAAGUGUAAAAAGACAAUUUAUUCCUUCAAUGCUUAGGAAAAAAUAUUCCUUAAAAAAAGAUACUUAUUAGAAAAUAUCAUUAGAUAUAUGUUUAAUUGUUUAUAUUAAUAAAAAGUUAUCUAUUAACAAAAUAAAAGUAAAACAUUAAUCACAUAUUUAUAAUUUUAAAAUUUUAACUCUUCAAUGGUAGUUUAGAUUAUGCAAAUGAGUUUUCUUUUUUUUUUUCUUUUUUAAAUAUAAGAUAAUUCAAGUUUUGGUCUUUGUUGUCGCUGUGGUUAUUCAGUUUGCUCUCUCAAUGGAGAUUGUUAUUGCCAUCGUUGGCUCUAUUGUCGUUAAAGCUGUAGAGUAUACGAUCUAUCCUAACAAAAACAAUGUCAAAUACCUUUCCAAUCAUCAGAAAUAUGUUGAGACCCUCAAGAACCGAGCUAAUAGGCUGAAAGAUGCUAGGGACGGAGUGCAGCAUUUUGUUGAUGCAGCUAAACGAAACGGUGAAGAGAUCGAAGGUGAUGUUGACAAAUGGCUGUUGAAGUAAUGGUCAGCAUGCAGCAACCAAGACUGUCAAAGGCACUACAUGCAGAAGCUGCUGGUUCACCUAGUCAGCAAGCUGUUUAUGUUUCAUUUUGUAAUUUUAAGUUAGAGUAAUGUAACUUAGUUGCUUUAUAACUAUGUUAGGUUUAUGUUUGAUGUAAUUUUGAUGUUGACUGAGCUGAUAAAUCAGCUUUGUUUGUUUGUUCAAGCUAAUUAGCACAAGUUACUAUGUGUAUUAGUGGUAGUAGGUGAAGUUUAGGUCAACCUACUGUUUUGUCAAGAUUGUAAACUUGUUUUAUGUAUUGGCUUUGUGCCAUAUUUAGUUUAUGAAAUGAAUUCAACAAGUUAUCAUCCAUAUGCUCUUCAUUUUUAGUUUUGCUUAAAAAUCCAUUUGAGUUUUCUGCUUUGUUUCUCCUACAAGUCACGAGACUUGCUCGACAAGUAUCCUGUUGAAGCUUGCUGCUGCUGCCUCUUGAUCCAACAAUUGGUAUCUAGAGCCACAUUCUUAGAGGACCUGUUGUAGUUUAGUAUCAAAAUGAUGGCAUCAUCAGGUUUUUCACCAGCUUCACCACCUGUCUUCAAUGGAGAGGGCUUCAACAUUUGGGCAGUUAAGAUGAGGACUUACCUGCAGGCAUUCGACCUAUGGGAAGUUGUUAACUCAGAUGCUGAGCCAGCACCUCUUCGAGCUAAUCCAACAGUUGCUCAAAUAAGGCAACACACUGAUGAAAGAACAAAAAGGCACAAGGCCAUGUCAUGCAUACAGAAUUGUGUGACAGAUGUGAUCUUUAUGAGGAUCAUGGCCUGUGAAACACCAAAGGAGGCUUGGGACAAGCUGAAAGAAGAAUUUCAGGGGACUGAGAAAACAAGGCAACAACAGCUGCUCAACUUGAGAAGAGAUUUCGAAAAUCUAAAAAUGAAAGAGGAAGAAACAGUUAAGCAGUACUCAGAUCGGAUUAUGGCUGUUGUAAACAGCAUAAGGCUCCUAGGAGAGCAAUUCAGUGAAGCUAGAAUGGUUGAGAAAGUCAUGUCCACUCUACCAGAGAGGUAUGAAGCUAAAAUUUCAUCCCUCGAAGACUCAAGGGACUUGACAACUAUCUCCUUAACUGAGCUAAUCAAUGCCUUGUAUGCACAAGAGCAAAGAAGAGCCAGCAGACAAGAGGACCACCAGGAAGGUGCUUUUCAAGCCAAAGAAGCCUCGAGCAUCAAAACUCAUAAAGGCAAAAAGUUCUGGAAAAACAGGCCUAAGCCUGAUGCUGCUAGGAGCAGUGACCAACUCUGCAGACAUUGUAAAAGAGCUGGUCAUCCAGAAGAUAGAUGCUGGUUUAGACCAGAUGCAGUAUGCCAACACUGCAAGAAAAAAGGCCAUGUUGAAAAAGUUUGCAAGAAUAGAAGCAAACCAAGACAGAAUCAAUUUCAGCAACAAAAGGUAGAAGCUCGAGUAGCUGAAGAAAGCAGUGAUCAAGAAGAACAUGUUUUUGCUGUGUCAUGUGCAGCAAAUCAGAAGAAGGGUUCAAAGGGCUGGCUUCUAGACAGUGGGUGCACAAACCACAUGUCACCAGAUGCAACUAUCUUCAAAACCCUAGACAGAACCUGCAAAACCAAAGUAAAAAUUGGAAAUGGUCAGUUAAUCAAUGCUGAAGGAAGAGGAGAUGUGAUGAUUCAUACUUCUACAAGUGGCAAAAUCAUUUCAAAUGUACUUUUGGUACCUGAAAUCGAUAGGAACCUUCUCAGUAUAACUCAACUACUUGAGAAAGGUUACUCAGUUAUUUUCAAGGAGAAAGAAUGUCAAAUUUUUUAUCCAAGUGGAUCAAACCUUAUAACAGUCACCAUGACUGAUAAAUGUUUUGAAGUAGACUGGCCAAAUGACUCACAUUCAGCCUGCACAGCCUCCACUGAUGACUCAAGACUCUGGCAUCAGAGGCUUGGACAUGCAAACUACAAAUCCAUAGCCCGCAUGGUCAAUGAAGGUCUGGCAGAAAAUUUCAUCGACUCAGUGAAGAAUGAUGAGCUUUGUGAGAUAUGUCAGCAAGGAAAAUUGACAAGAUUGCCAUUUCCAACAAGCACAACAUGGAGAGCAUCAGAGAAGCUCCAGCUUGUGCAUACAGAUGUGUGUGGACCAAUGAAGACUGAGUCUCUCAAAGGAAGCAGGUACUUUAUUCUAUUUGUUGAAGUAAUGGUCAGCAUGCAGCAACCAAGACUGUCAAAGGCACUACAUGCAGAAGCUGCUGGUUCACCUAGUCAGCACGCUGUUUAUGUUUCAUUUUGUAAUUUUAAGUUAGAGUAAUGUAACUUAGUUGCUUUAUAACUAUGUUAGGUUUAUGUUUGAUGUAAUUUUGAUGUUGACUGAGCUGAUAAAUCAGCUUUGUUUGUUUGUUCAAGCUAAUUAGCACAAGUUACUAUGUGUAUUAGUGGUAGUAGGUGAAGUUUAGGUCAACCUACUGUUUUGUCAAGAUUGUAAACUUGUUUUAUGUAUUGGCUUUGUGCCAUAUUUAGUUUAUGAAAUGAAUUCAACAAGUUAUCAUCCAUAUGCUCUCCAUUUUUAGUUUUGCUUAAAAAUCCAUUUGAGUUUUCUGCUUUGUUUCUCCUACAAGUCACGAGACUUGCUCGACAAGUAUCCUGUUGAAGCUUGCUGCUGCUGCCUCUUGAUCCAACAAUUGGUAUCUAGAGCCACAUUCUUAGAGGACCUGUUGUAGUUUAGUAUCAAAACGAUGGCAUCAUCAGGUUUUUCACCAGCUUCACCACCUGUCUUCAAUGGAGAGGGCUUUAAUAUUUGGGCAGUUAAGAUGAGCACUUACCUGCAGGCAUUCGACCUAUGGGAAGUUGUUAACUCAGAUGCUGAGCCAGCACCUCUUCGAGCUAAUCCAACAGUUGCUCAAAUAAGGCAACACACUGAUGAAAGAACAAAAAGGCACAAGGCCAUGUCAUGCAUACAGAAUUGUGUGACAGAUGUGAUCUUUAUGAGGAUCAUGGCAUGUGAAACACCAAAGGAGGCUUGGGACAAGCUGAAAGAAGAAUUUCAGGGGACUGAGAAAACAAGGCAACAACAGCUGCUCAACUUGAGAAGAGAUUUCGAAAAUCUAAAAAUAAAAGAGGAAGAAACAGUUAAGCAGUACUCAGAUCGGAUUAUGGCUGUUGUAAACAGCAUAAGGCUCCUAGGAGAGCAAUUCAGUGAAGCUAGAAUGGUUGAGAAAGUCAUGUCCACUCUACCAGAGAGGUAUGAAGCUAAAAUUUCAUCCCUCGAAGACUCAAGGGACUUGACAACUAUCUCCUUAACUGAGCUAAUCAAUGCAUUGUAUGCACAAGAGCAAAGAAGAGCCAGCAGACAAGAGGACCACCAGGAAGGUGCUUUUCAAGCCAAAGAAGCCUCGAGCAUCAAAACUCAUAAAGGCAAAAAGUUCUGGAAAAACAGGCCUAAGCCUGAUGCUGCUAGGAGCAGUGACCAACUCUGCAGACAUUGUAAAAGAGCUGGUCAUCCAAAAGAUAGAUGCUGGUUUAGACUAGAUGCAGUAUGCCAACACUGCAAGAAAAAAGACCAUGUUGAAAAAGUUUGCAAGAAUAGAAGCAAACCAAGACAGAAUCAAUUUCAGCAACAAAAGGUAGAAGCUCGAGUAGCUGAAGAAAGCAGUGAUCAAGAAGAACAUGUUUUUGCUGUGUCAUGUGCAGCAAAUCAGAAGAAGGGUUCAAAGGGCUGGAUUCUAGACAGUGGGUGCACAAACCACAUGUCACCAGAUGCAACUAUCUUCAAAACCCUGGACAGAACCUGCAAAACCAAAGUAAAAAUUGGAAAUGGUCAGUUAAUCAAUGCUGAAGGAAGAGGAGAUGUGAUGAUUCAUACUUCUACAGGUGGCAAAAUCAUUUCAAAUGUACUUUUGGUACCUGAAAUCGAUAGGAACCUUCUCAGUAUAACUCAACUACUUGAUAAAGGUUACUCAGUUGUUUUCAAGGAGAAAGAAUGUCAAAUUUUUGAUCCAAGUGGAUCAAACCUUAUAACAGUCACCAUGACUGAUAAAUGUUUUGAAGUAGACUGGCCAAAUGACUCACAUUCAGCCUGCAUAGCCUCCACUGAUGACUCGAGACUCUGGCAUCAGAGGCUUGGACAUGCAAACUACAAAUCCAUAGCCCGCAUGGUCAAUGAAAGUCUGGCAAAAAAUUUCAUCGACUCAGUGAAGAAUGAUGAGCUUUGUGAAAUAUGUCAGCAAGGAAAAUUGGCAAGAUUGCCAUUUCCAACAAGCACAACAUGGAGAGCAUCAGAGAAGCUCCAACUUGUGCAUACAGAUGUGUGUGGACCAAUGAAGACUGAGUCUCUCAAAGGAAGCAGGUACUUUAUUCUAUUUAUUGAUGACUUAACAAGAUACUGCUGGAUUUAUUUUUUAAAACAGAAAUCAGAAGUUCCAUCUGUGUUCCUGAAGUAUAAAGCUGCUGUUGAAACUGAGUCUGGUUGCAAACUUAGAGCAAUGAGGUCAGAUAAUGGAACUGAGUACACCUCAGCUCAGUUCCAAGCCUACUGUGAAGAAGCAGGUAUCAAACACCAGUUGACUAAUGUAUAUACACCCCAACAGAAUGGGGUCAGUGAAAGGAAAAACAGAAGCUUGAUGAACAUGGCAAGAUGUCUUCUGUUUGAGAAGAAUUUGCCCAAAAGUCUGUGGGCUGAAGCUGUUAACACAGCAGUUUAUCUCCAAAAUAGGCUCCCAACCAAGGCUCUGGCUGAGAAGACUCCAUUUGAAGCCUGGUUUGGGUUUAAGCCAUCACUGGCUCAUCUCAGAACCUUUGGUUGUCUGUGCUACACACAAGUUCCAGCUGAGAAGAGAAGCAAGCUAGAUAAAAGAGCUCAAGCAGGGAUCCUGAUCGGCUAUAGCUUGGUUAAGAAGGGCUACAGAAUCCUAGAACCUGCUACAAACAAGAUAUUGGUUAGCAGGGAUGUUGUUUUCAAUGAAAAAGGACACUGGAAUUGGGAGAAGGCUGAACCAGAGGCAGUGGCUGAAGAUCUCGCAGUGGACCAAGUUGAAAAUGUUGAAAACACAUCUGAAAUGGAUGUAGAUGAUGUUCCAAUCAGAGGCACUCGAUCACUGGCUGAUGUUUAUGAAAGAGCACAAGUGGCUACUGUUGAACCAAGUUGCUUUGAAGAAGCAGAAAGCCAGGAGGACUGGAAGCAAGCAAUGAUUGAAGAAAUCAGAAUGAUUGAAAAGAAUCAGACCUGGAGUCUGGUUGAUAAACCAACAAACAGGAAGAUUAUUGGUGUCAAAUGGGUUUAUCGAGUAAAGAACAAUGCUGAUGGUAGCCUAAACAAGUUAAAGGCUAGAUUGGUUGUGAAAGGCUUCAGUCAAAGGUAUGGAUCAGACUACCUGGAAACCUUUGCACCAGUAGCCAGGCUAGACACUAUUAGACUGCUAGUUGCCUUAGCAGCACAAAAACAGUGGCUGAUACACCAACUUGAUGUAAAAUCAGCAUUUCUGAAUGGAUUCCUUGAAGAGGAGAUUUAUGUGGAGCAACCUCAAGGUUUCAAGGUGUCUGGCAAAGAAGAAAUGGUGUACAAGCUCAACAAAGCCUUGUAUGGCUUGAAACAGGCUCCAAGGGCCUGGUAUAGCAGAAUAGAUGGCUAUCUGAACCAGUCAAGGAUUUGAAAGAAGUCUCAGCGAGCCAACUCUGUAUGUUAAAUCAACUAGUGCUGAAACUCAGCUCAUUGUCUCAAUAUAUGUCGAUGACCUACUGGUGACAGGAGGAGAUCAUGAGAUGCUAAGCAACUUUAAAGUCAAAAUGCAACAGCACUUUGAAAUGUCAGACUUGGGAUUGAUGUCUUACUUCUUAAGCAUGGAAGUAACUCAAGCUAAGAAUGGGAUUUGGCUAAGUCAAAAGACCUUUGCUAUGAAGGUUCUCAACAAAUUCUCAAUGGAGAAUUGCAAAGCAACCAGCACACCAGUUGCUGUUGGAGAAAAACUCUCAAGCCAAGACAAGCAUGAAAAGGUUUGUGAAACAACCUAUCGAAGUCUAGUUGGAUGUUUGUUGUAUUUGACUGCUACUAGACCUAAUGUAUGCUGUGAGUCUACUCUCGAGGUUUAUGCAUUGUUCAAAUGAAAGUCAUUUUAGAGCUGCAAAAAGGGUUCUAAGAUACAUCAAAGGAACUUUGUCCUAUGGAAUGCAGUUUACCAAGGCUGAGAACUUGAAGCUAGUUGGAUAUUGUGACAGUGAUUGGGCUGGUUCCUUGGAUGACAUGAAGAGCACUACAGGCUAUGCAUUCAACAUAGGCUCUGCUAUGAUUUGCUGGAGCUCAAAGAAGCAGGGAGUAGUGGCUCAGUCGACUGCAGAAGCAGAAUAUGUGGCUGCUGCUGCAGCAGUCAAUCAAGCCAUAUGGCUUAGAAAAAUUUUGAAAGAUAUCAAUCAUGAGCAAAAGGAAGCAACUGAGAUAAUGUGUGACAACCAAUCAGCAGUUGCUAUUGCAAAGAAUCCUGUUUUUCAUGGAAGGACCAAGCACUUCAACAUCAAACUUCAUGCAAUUCGGGAAAUGGAACAAGCUCAUGUUGUUAAGCUGAUACAUUGCAGUUCUGAAGAGCAAAUUGCUGAUAUUUUAACAAAAGCACUAAGUGUUUCCAAGUUUCAACACCUGAGAGCUAAUAUGGGAGUUUGCAACAUGCUAACCAAGGAGGAGUGUUGAAGUAAUGGUCAGCAUGCAGCAACCAAGACUGUCAAAGGCACUACAUGCAGAAGCUGCUGGUUCACCUAGUCAGCAAGCUGUUUAUGUUUCAUUUUGUAAUUUUAAGUUAGAGUAAUGUAACUUAGUUGCUUUAUAACUAUGUUAGGUUUAUGUUUGAUGUAAUUUUGAUGUUGACUGAGCUGAUAAAUCAGCUUUGUUUGUUUGUUCAAGCUAAUUAGCACAAGUUACUAUGUGUAUUAGUGGUAGUAGGUGAAGUUUAGGUCAACCUACUGUUUUGUCAAGAUUGUAAACUUGUUUUAUGUAUUGGCUUUGUGCCAUAUUUAGUUUAUGAAAUGAAUUCAACAAGUUAUCAUCCAUAUGCUCUCCAUUUUUAGUUUUGCUUAAAAAUCCAUUUGAGUUUUCUGCUUUGUUUCUCCUACAAGUCACGAGACUUGCUCGACAAGUAUCCUGUUGAAGCUUGCUGCUGCUGCCUCUUGAUCCAACAAUGGCUGCCUGCAGUCGACAGAAAGAUCCUUGAACAAGUAGAGAAAGUGAUGCAAGACGAAGAAAAAGCAAAGAAAAAGUGUUUCAUUGGUUUGUGUCCUAAGUUCAGGACUCGUUACAAGCUUAGCCUGAAAGCUGAAGAGGAGUCAAGAAUGUACUUGUGGAGUUGAAUAAUGGGAAAGAUCUUCCAAAUUUGAAGAGACUUCUUGUCAAAAAUGGUAUGCAUGUCUAAUAUAUUAAAAUGAACAAAAUUGGAUUUUCUGAAUUAUGCUUCAUCACACUUGAAAAUCUAUCGCUACUCGUUAGCUUUUGCUCUCCAGACGAAAGGUGUUCCACUAAGCCCUUCCUACUUUUCAAUAAACAAGUAUUUGUUUGGCUUUACUUAUAUUUUCUUAUACAACUUUUAUUUAUAUGCCAAUUAAUACUUCUAAUAAUAGAAAUAAAUAAUAUUGUGUAAUGGUUUUUCCGGAGCUCAAAAAUAAAUUUUAAUUCCAAAACAAAUGAAAAUAUAAUUUUUAAUCCAAACCGAUUGACAGUACAAAGUCAAUUCAAUAAUUUAAAUUUAAACCCAAUAAUUAUUUUUUUAAUUUUGAAAAUGAAAUUUGAGCCCACAAAUUGAACUAAAAUUAUCUUUAAAAUCGAAAAUCAUAUUUUCAAAUAAUGUUGCAUACUAUCUUUCCCUAUCGAAAAAGAAUUGUGUGUAAAUAUGUGCAAUUUAUUUUCCCUCACUUGGAAAGCUUGUAAUUGUGUUCCAUUAACACCAGACAUGUCAUUGGAUUACGAAUUUGAGGAGCUUGAUCAUGAAAGGAUGCGGUAAGUGGGAGCAUCUGUUAUCACCCUCUCUCGCUAGAAGUCUGGUGUAGCUCCAAUGCUUUAAGAUAGAGGAUUGCAAGUGUUUAAGGGACAUAAUACUUACAGAGGAAAUUGAAGAAGAAAGGAAAGAUGUGAUUUGUUAAUUUCCCUCGAUUAAACUCCCUGCGUAUAGUGGGUCUUACAAACCUCAUCUUCUUCAGCUCAGGAAACCACAAUAUCGAGUUCCCAUUGUUGGAAGAGCUAUGGAUUGAGAAUUGCCCCAAUUUCAUAGAAUUCAUUAGUCAGAAUAGUAAUCAGUCCGGCAUGCACGCUCUCUUCAGUGAGAAGAUGAUUUAUUUCAGUAGUAUUACACUCUUGCAUAAAUCUGUUGAUUUGUCCUUGUUUUUUUCUUUUUUCUGCCUUCAUUAUUUGAGGUAACCUUAUUAUGGGCAUGGAUUAUAUAUAUAUAUAUAUAUAUAUGAAUAGGCUGCAGUUCCUAGCUUGGAAGACUUGAGUAAUGUGAAGAUGAUAUUUUAUAAUGAUCUAGCACCAGGUUCCUAUAAAAAUCUACGAAAAAUAAGUGUUGGGGGAUGUGGGAGUUUGAAAAAUCUAUUUCCAGUAUCAAUAGCCAAAGGUCUUCCACAACUUGAACAUUUACGCAUCACUAAAUGUGGAGUUGAGGAGAUUGUAUCGAAAGGGGAUGGAGUGGAGCAGCCUGUGAGGUUUGAGUUUCCGAAAGUGUCUUACCUUGAGGUUACAGGGGUAGUAAAGCUCAAAUGUUUCUAUGAAGGGCAAGAUACAAUAGUCUGGCCGAUGUUGAAAAAAUUGAAAACAGAUAGUUCUGCUUUGCUAAAGAUAGUGGCAUGGGAACAUCUUAGAUUAAUCCAAGGAAAUGAGGAGCCAGUUUUGUUGGGUGAAGAGGUAUGUAUAUCAUUACAACUAUAUUUCUUUUUAUGAUUUAAACCACUGCCACAAGCAUCUCAGGAUGAAAUAUGCCACGAUAAUGCAUUUCUAAUUAUUAUAUUUUCAUUGAUUUGAAUUUUUUUUUCCUAUUUUUGAAUUUUUAAUAUAUAUUUUUACAAUUUUUAAAAACAAGACUGAAUAAAUAUAAUAGGUAAAUAUUGAGUGUUAAUCUUAACUUUUUAGAAUGUAGUUCAAUUUGAUAAAAUGUAUAAAUGUUGAGGGUUAAAUUUAUUAUUAUGCAAAAAAAAAACUAUAACAUCCCGUUAGGGACUUUGAAGCAUAGCAAUUAAGAUAUUCAAUUUCUGUAACAACAUUGAUUAAAUUGAAAUUUUAUUUGUUUUUAAAUGGCCAAUGAAAAUAUUUUAACACUUAAGUGACUAUAUAUGUAAUUUACCCUGCAUUUAAGUAGUGGGUAGAAACUAAAUAGAAUGUUUAAUUUAUAAAAAGUCAAAAUUUUAAAAGUUAGUUACACUAGACAUCUCAAACUAUGACCUCCAUUUUAAAUUAGUCCCAAAAUUUAAAAUAUUCUAAGUACAUUCUUAAACUAUUGAUAUUAUAUCAAUUAGGUCUUUCUAUUAUUAAAUUCGUUAAUUUAACCAUCAAAUUAAAUCAGUGUAAUAUUUUAAAACCUUGGUGUUUUAUCUACACUGUUCUGCUUAUAUUUUUUAUCGUAGAAAUAUAUAUAUAUAUAACACAAUGGUUGUUUAUCUAUUUUAAUUUGCUACUCUUCUUUCGACUUUCAUGUUGUGUAAUUUUUCAGUUUUUAUUCUCAAGGUAUUGUGUUUUCUUAAAACAAAAAAUUCUAUCUAUUCUGAAUCCGUUUGAUUUAAUAUUGAUUUUGUUGGGAUUUAAUCAUCAAAAUCAAACACUAAAAUUAUAAAUCUUUUUUUUUUUGUUUGUUUUUUUAAAGCAUAUACAUCAACAUUGAGCCUAACUUGUAUAUAUUUAAUUGGUUUCCAAGGUCAUUCCCAAAUUAGAGGAACUUGAGUUACGAACUUUUGGUGAUAUGGACCAAUUUCCACCAGACUUGUUUCAACAUGUUAAAGUUAUUGCAGUGAGUGGUGGCUCUCCAUUUUCUUUAUUUCCUUUCGUCCGAAGAUUCUACAAUCUGGAAAGACUUGAGGUUUCUUAUUCUGAUUUCAAACAUGUAGUCCCUUGUAAAGGAGACGCCGGAACUCUCCCACCAAUUAGAAAUCUGAAAUUGGUUUCUGCCAGAAAUCUUGAGCAUAUUUGGAGGAAAGAUUCGGAGCUUUACCAUAUUCUUUCUAAUCUUCAAACACUCACAGUUGAGGAUUGUGAUGAUUGGAUAAAUAUUAGAGUCUCCUCAUCAUCUUUACAAAAUCUCACAAAUUUGAAUGUGUCAUUUUGUUAAGAAUCUUGUGCAAUUAACGACAAUAAAGGUAGAAUACGGCACUAAAAUGACAGAAGUAGUGGGAAACGAGGGAGACUGUCAUCAGACAAUAGUUGUUAGUAAAUUGAAAUGUUUACAACUAUGCAAUUUGAAGAGCCUCACAAGCUUUUCUCCACGGUAUUACAGCUUCGAGUUUCCUUGUUUGGAAGAAUUAGUUGUGGAACAUUGUCCUAAGUUAAAGAUCUUUUCUGAGGGAGUUUUAAGCACCCCACAAUUACAGAGAAUAAAACAGUCGAGUUACCGUGAGAAAUGGAGUUGGACAAGUGACCUUAAUACCACCAUAAAACAGCUAUACACAGAAAAGGUACAAAGUUAAUAAGUUCAUAAUGCUAGCUAGAUUCCUCGUGUCCUAAUACAAUUAAUUUUAUUACUACUUCAAUAACCAUUGAAGAGUGUUAAUCGUUACUUUGUUAUUGUCUGCAUUUUCUAUUUAUGAUUGCUAUCUAGUGGAAUAAUAUCAGAUUAAUUUUUAGGAUGGACUCUAUAACCCAUAUGAUUUCAACAUCUCUGACACAUUUCCGGAGUCGAUAGAAAUAUGGACUAGAAACCCUCAAGAAAUUUUGGGCUUCAAAAACCUUAGCAGCCUGCAGUUUUAUAAAUGUAGCAGCUUGAAGUACAUAUUUACUCCGUCUAUACUUUUGAGCCUCAAUCUACUGCAAAGGAUAGAAGUGCAAGAAUGCAGUUCAAUGGAACAAGUAGUUAGGGAGGAGGAGGAAGCAAUGACACAUAAAUUUACAUUUCUUUCGCUACUCUCCGUAACAAUUGAGUCGUGUUCCAGCUUGACAAAUUUCCAUUUGGGAAGUCAAGCUCUUGAAUUUCCACAGCUGAGGAAUAUCAGGAUAGCUGAGUGUCCAAAAAUGACUGCAUUUUCUUCCUCAGUUUCAAGAGAGAGUGGUGAUGCAAGUGAAAACGUGGUUGGCAAAGGGGGCAUCUAUGAUAACACUGCAACUUUUUUCAGCAAUAAGGUAAGUUUGGUAUUCAAUAUUUAUCUGCACAACUUAUUUCACAUUUUCUUUUGAUUUGAUCAACAUGAGUGUGUCUGGUCUAUAUAUACAUACUAGUGCUACACCUUGUCAAAACUGAAUAUAAUAAAAUCCAUAUAUAUAAAUAAAUAAGAUAAUAUUUAAAAAAAAACUGGAGUUUAAAGUGGAAAUUAAAUAAAUAUAUAAAAUAAGAAUUGAAAGGAAAACUUAAAGUGAAAUACUAAAAAACAAAAAGAAUUUAAGAGAAGUUUAAAAUUAAAUAGUAAUAGACAAUAAAUAAUAAAAUAAUAAUAGAAAAAAGAAAACUAAUCUUCCUUUAUUUUAAUUUGUGGGUGUAUAAGAAGGAGAUAAUUGUGGAAGACCUUCACAAAUGUCAUUUGAGAUCAAAAUAAGGAGAAGAAGCAAGAAAACAAAAGGUGAGGAGUUUGAAGAAGAAAGAACCAAAUAUAUGGAGGAGAAUUGAAGUGAGAGAGUGGAUGGGUUUUAUUUAAAGAUUUAAUGCUUUUUUUUUAAUUUCAUAUAUAGAAAAAAUCAUUGAAAGAAAAAUAAGUUCAAUAUAAUUAUUUAAAUUUACUUGUCGGGUUUUUAUAAAAUUAACUCAAAUUUUUGAUUAAUUAUGAAAAUAACUCAAUUUAAAAAUUAUGUACAUAAAUUAUUCGAUUUCUAUAGUGUCUGUCGGUGCCUCCAGACACAAUGGCAGCACUGACCUGCCAUCAUCAACCAAUGAUUGUAUUUUAUUUAAAAAAUAAUAGUUUUUUAGUAGUGUCAUUGGAAAAAUUGACGAUAUCAAACUGAAGUGUGAUAAUAUAAAAUGUUCAUGUACUUGACGAAGUAAUUACCCUUUUUUAAUUAGAGGAAAAAGGGAUUUGGUCUAUUUUCAUGUUAGGUCCAUCACCUUUUGAAAUUAAAUUUAAAUAACCCUUAAAAAUAUAAGAAUAACAAAAAUAAAUCAUUCUCAUUUAUAUUUAAAAAAUAACCUUUAAAAAUUAUAUUAAAUUCUUAUUUAAAUUAUCCAAAUAUAUCCCUCACAGAAUUUCCUCAAGUUUAUCUAAAUUCAAGCAUUUUCAAUUCAUUCCCUAGCAUAUUUAAAUUUAGAUAAAGUACUUAAGGAAAUUUUUUGAGGAAUAUAUUUGGGUAAUUUGAAUAAGAAUUUUAUAUAAUUUUUUAAGUAUUUUUUCAAAAAAAAUGAAAAUGGUUUAAUUUUGUUAUUAUUAUAUUUUUUUAACUGCUAUUUAAAUCUAAUUUUAAAAAAGGACAAACGUAACAUGCAAAUAGGUCAAAUGUUGAAAAACAUUUAAUUUGGUCCAGAUACCAACGACACCCCUUUUUCAACCAAUCUAAAAACGUUAACCGCUUCAAAGGAUCCCUGCACGUUUUAUAUAAUCACAUUCAUUCUGGUGCCGUCAAUUUAUUAGGCAACACCACUAUGAUUUUUUUAAAUAAGCAAUCAUUGGGUAAUGAUGUGCAGCGGUGCAGUAAGCACUAUAGAAAUCAGGUGGCCUUCAUUGAAACAUUUCUACUCUAGGAUUGUGUAAGGUGUAGUAACCUUAGAUUGUGUAAGGUGCCAAGAUUGAAAAAUUUCUACUCUAGGAUGCGUACCACCCAGUGGCCUUCAUUGAAACAAAUGGACAUUAUUGAAUGCCCCAAACUACAGAUAUUUACACGACAAUGUCCUGUAAGUCAGGUUGGAAUCUCAAACCAACAACCCUUGUUUUGCGUCAAUGAGGUAAGCUCACGAAAAGUUUCAUAUUCCAUGAUCAUUACUUGAGAUUACCUAUAAGAUGCUUUUUGAAAAACCUAAUAUUCUCUCCUCUUUUAAUUUUAUGAGAGUCUAGUUCUUACUAAUUUAAAACUCUUUCAUCGAUGUCUAAUAUAUUCUUUUUUUUUUUUUUGAAACAACGAUGUCUAAUAUAUUCAUUGCCAUCCAGGACGGUACUUUCCCUGUAUUAGAAGAACUAACACUGAACACGAAUGAUAUGGUGAAGGGGAUAUGUGAUGGACAGCUCUUAUUGCAGUGUUUCUAAAACCUUAAACUUCUUAACCUCCGAUUCUUUCCUGAGACAUCCGCUACUCUUCCAUAUUCCUUCAUUCGGUCGCUACCAAAGCUUCAGAAGCUUGUUAUAAACAAUGCUUCCAUUUCUGAAAUAGUCUGGUCUGAAGGACUUAGCAAAGAGGAAAGGCACACAUCGGUAUUCUAUCAGUUAAAGGACUUAAGGUUGUCUCAACUUCCAGAGUUGACGUUAAAGACUUUUAAACCAUCUUUGCUGUCUUUCAAAAAUCUAACAACACUAGAAGUUUCAAGAUGCCAUGGGUUCAUCAAUUUAAUCGCAUGCUCAACAGCUAAAUGCCUAACGCUACUGGAAAGAUUGAGCAUAGAUGAUUGUGAGAUGAUAGAGGAAAUCAUAGCGUGUGAGGCUGAAGAAAUACAAGGUGGCAUGGUAUUUCCCAAACUGAAGUAUUUGCAACUAAGUUGUCUGCCAUGUCUAGCAAGCUUUUCCUUGGCCCAUCACUCGUUGGAAUUCCCAGUCUUGCUAAUGGUGAUGGUGACAAAGUUCCCCCAAAUGAGGAAUUUCUGCCAAGGAGAUUUAAGCACACCAAGGCUGGAACAAAUGCACUUAACAAGAGAUGAGGAAGGUGAACUGCAGUGGGAAGGCGAUCUCAACACUACCAUAAAACAUAUGCUCGAUGAAAUGGUACAAAUCAUUUAAAGGAUUUAAAUUCAUGUGUUUUUACAUACAUUAAUUGAACAAUUCUUGGUUUGUUAUGAUCAUGCACAGAAUGGGCAAAAUUCGGAGGUGACGGAGGUUACUGAUCAGUUGCCCAAGCUGGAAUAAGGAAAUAAGUUUGGGUGCUUAUACGAAAAGCUCAAUUUCGUUUCAAAUCAAAACGAACGGUAAUUGACUCUUCUAUUUUCAUCAUGGCUUAACUAAUUCUAUUUUUCUUCACUGUAAGCUAUUUUUCUUCACUUACUAAAAUGCUUUCCACUCAAAUUUCAUUGCAAGAAACCUGAAGUUCUUCAAACAUUUGACCUUAUAUGUUAAUAGAUGGUAAUUGCGUUGCAAACUAAUGGUUUCUACUGUUGUCAUGGUGUAGUAUAUUAUGGAAUCUGAAUCAACCAUUGUAAUCAAAAGAAUGGGAGAACUUAAUCCAGAACCUUUUUUAGACGAAUGCAAGAAGAAAUUUGCUGUUUGACAACUGGUGUUUGAACUGUGAAUUUGAUUUUUUUUUUUGCCAUUUUUGCUGGUCAACAGUGCUAAUAUUCUGAUAUAUUGGCCAGAAUUGAAGGAAGAAGGUCCAAUUUUGCUUUUGAUCCUUCUACUAGUAUCUUAAGAUUUAAAAGAAAUUCAAUUAAACAAUUUCUUCCAAUAAAAUUAAACAAGAAGGCCCAGAAAUUGACCCGCACACUUAGACAUGUUUCUCUUUGAAAAAAUUCAAACAGGGUUUUAAAAUUUGCAAUGUGUUUUAUGUAAAUCAAAUGAUAUCCUGAAUUUUGCUAAGGGUGUUUCAUAUCCUUGAAUCCUUCUUUUGCUUGGCAAGUGAUUCAUUGAGCUUUUGUGAUCAAAUUUCAUGUUUCUUUUUUAGUAUGGGAAUUUGUGGGAAAAUACUUGACAACAAGCCUCAAUACUUGCUGUUGGGAGCUUCAAUAUAAUGUAACUGUUGGUGUUGAAAUCAAAGAACAGAUAAGCUCAGCUUGUAUCUUGUGCAACAAGCCUCGAUACUUGCUGAGUAAACAAUCAGAUUUGAAGCAAAAGAAAGAAGAAAAAAGCAAAGAAAAAUGAGAGAGUUUUGAUGGAUUUGAACUAGCUUUCAUUCAUACUCAAAAUAAUGGCAUAAUGCCAAUACAUAAACCAAGCAAUUUGCUUGUCAAAAAACAAUAAGCAGUCACCUAAACAAUACCUACCACCACUAAUUAUAUUGAAACUUGAAAAACAAAACUUGUAAGCAUGGACAAAGCUGAGUUUACAGCUCAUACACCAUCUAAUUACAUCAAUCAUAAGAUUAGCUUAGUUCAAAUUGAACUAAGGUACAUUACAUUAACUUAAAAAUACAAAAUGAACAAAAUAGGAACAGUUGAGCUUGUUCCAGCAGCACCUGCAUGGCACGAUCUUCAUGGCCUACUUGCUGUCUGCUUCUUGCUUCAUGCUGACCAACAUUCAUCACUCCUCCUUGGUUAGCAUGUUGCAAACUCCCAAUUUGUUUCUUAAGUGUUCGAAUCUUGUUGCAUUAAGGGCUUUGGUCAAAAUGUCAGCAAGUUGAUCCUCUGAAUUGCAAUGAAUCAGUUUUAGCUCCUGUGCCUGCUCCAUUUCUCGAACAACAUGAAGUUUAAUGCUGAAAUGCUUUGUUCUUCCAUGGAACACUGGAUUCUUUGCAAUUGCAAUAGUAGAUUGAUUGUCACAAAAGAUCUCUGUUGUUUCCCUUUGAUGCACAUUUAAAUCAGCCAUGAUUUUCCUUAGUCAAAUGGCUUGGUUGACAGCACUUGUUGCUGCAACAUAUUCUGCUUCAGCAGUAGAUUGAGCCACCAAAGUUUGUUUCUUAGAGCUCCAACAGAACAUGGCUGAACCAAGAUUGAAAGCAUACCCUGAUGUACUUUUCAUGUCAUCAAUCGAACCAGCCCAGUCAUUGUCUGUGUAGCCAACUAACUUCAGACUUUUAGCUUUGCUAUAAAUCAAGCCAUGGUUCAAGGUACCUUUGAUAUACCUGAGCACCCUCUUUGCUGCUUGAAAGUGCUUUUCAUUACUACAAUGCAAGAACCUUGAGAGCAAACUUACAGCAAACAUUAUAUCAAGUCUAGUGGCUAUUAAGUAUAGAAAACAACCAACUAAAAUUUUGUAGGUGGUUUCACAAGCCCUUUCAGAAUUAUCAUGGCUCGAUAACUUUUCUCCAGCAGCUAUUGGAGUCUUUGUUGCUUUACUAUUUUGCAUUGUGAAUUUGGUCAGGAUCUUGGAAGCAAAAACUUUCUGACUUAGGAACAUUCCCUGGUGUGUUUGUGUCACUUCCAUCCCAAAAAAGUAGCUCAUCCUUCCUAGAUCAGACAUCUCAAACAUCAGCUCCAUUUUGGUUUUAAAGUCAGUUAGCAUUGUUUGGUCUCCUUCUGUCACUAGCAGGUUAUCAACAUACAAAGAUACUAUGAGCUGAUUUAGUGUCCCUUCCUUUUUGACAAAUAAAGUUGGCUCACUCUUGCUUCUGUCAAAUCCCAAACCAGACAAGUAGUUAUCAAUCCUGCUAUACCAGGCCCUUGGAGCCUGUUUUAAGCCAUACAAGGCUUUCGUUAGCUUGUAGACCAUAUGCUCAUUACAAGCUGUCUCAAAGCCUUGUGGUUGUUCAACAUAAAUGUUUUCAUCAAGAAAUCCAUUUAGAAAGGCUGAAUUCACAUCGAGCUAAUGGAUUUUCCAUUCCAUUUAAGUUGUUAAGCCAAUCAGCAGUCUGAUGGUAUCGAGCCUGGCUACUGGUGCAAAGGUUCCAGAUAGUCCAGGCCAUAUUUCUGGCUAAAUCCCUUGACAACCAGCCUUGCUUUUAGCUUAUUCAAGCUUCCAUCAGCAUUGCACUUGGCUCGAUAAACCCAUUUCACCCCAAUGACCUUCCUUUUGGCUGGUCUUCCAACUAAUUCCCAAGUCUGGUUCUUCUCAAUCAUGCUAAUUUCAUCAGCUAUUGCUUGCUUCCACCCUUGCUGAGCUUCAGUUUCUUCAAAACAGCUUGGUUCUGCUAUAGCCAUAUGAGCCCUUUUAUAAAUCUCGGCCAAAGGUCUGGUGCCCCUGACUGGUUCAUCAUCAAUAUCUAUUUCAAGACCAUUUUGAUCUGGCUCAGCUUGAUUUGCUGCAAGAUCCUCUGAAACUGCCUGUGGCUUAUUCCUUUCCCAAUUCCAGCAUGACUUCUCAUCAAACACUACAUCUUUGCUUACUAACACUUUGUUCGUUGAAGGAUCUAAGAUCCUUUAGACCUUCUUGACUGAGCUAUACCCUACUAGUAUACCAGGUUUAGCUUUUCUGCCAAAUUUGUCUCUCUUCACUGCUGGUACAUGAGCAUAACAUAUGCAACCAAAGACCCUCAAGUAAGCCAGUGAAGGUUUGAACCCGAACCAGGCUUCAAAUGGAGUCUUAUGAGCCAGGGCCUUAGUUGGAAGCCUAUUCUGAAUGUACACAGCAGUAUUGACUACCUCUGCCCAUAUGGUUUUGGGCAGAUUCUUCUCAAACAGUAGGCACCUGGCCAUAUCCAUCAAGCUCCUGUUCUUCCUCUCACUUACUCCAUUUUGUUGAGGAGUAUAGGUGUUGGUGAGCUGAUGCUUGAUGCCAGCCUCAUUGCAAAAGACUUGGAACUAAGAUGAGGUGUACUCAGUCCCAUUGUCAGACCUUAUAGUCUUAAGUUUGCAGCCUGUUUCAGUUUUAGCAACAUUCUUGAACUUUUUAAACAUUGAGCCUACUUUUGAUUUUUGUUUUAAGAAAUAAAUCCAGCAAAACCUUGAGAAAUCAUCAAUAAACAGAAUGAAAUACCUACUUCCAUUCAAUGACUCAGUCUUUAUGGGGCCACACACAUCAGUGUGCACAAGCUGUAGUCUUUUAAAGGCUCUCCAGGCUUGAUUCGAGGGAAAUGGAAGUCUGGCCUGCUUUCCUAGCUGACAUACCUCACAAACCUCCUGUUUUUGAACUGAACUGAUGAAGUUUUCAGGCAAAUCAUCUCUGCAUAACUGAUCCAUUGAUCUGUGGUUGGCAUGACCAAGUUUUUGAUGCCAAAGCUUAGAUUCAUCAGUUGUAGCUGUAUAGGUAGUGUCUAAGUCCUUUGUCCAAUCAACUACAAAGCUUUUGUCAGCCAUAGUGACUGCCAUCAAUUUGGAUCCAUUUGGAUCACUAAUUUGGCACUGCUUGCCUUUGAACACUACAAAAUACCCUUUUUCUAGCAAUUGAGCUAUGUUGAGCAGGUUUCUGUCAAUCUUAGGCACCAAUAGCACAUUCGAGAUGACCUUGACACCUGUGGGAGUGCAUAUCAACACAUCACCCUUACCUUCUGCCUUUAUAAGGUGACUAUUACCAAUCUUAACUUUAGUUCUGUAGCUUCUGUCCAAGGACUUGAAGAUGGCAGCAUCUAGUGUCAUGUGGUUGGUGCAUCUACUGUCUAGGAGCCAACCAUUUGAAAGCCUCUCUUAAGCAGCUGAGCAUGACACAGCAAAAACUUGCUCCUCUUGAUCACUGUCUUCCUUGGCUACUCGAGCCUCAGCCUUUGACUGUUGAGGUUGAUUCUGCCUUGGUUUGCCUCUGUUUUUGCAGACCCUUUCAACAUAUCCCCUCUUCUUGCAGUGUUGACACAAUACAUCUAGUCUAAACCAACAUUUUUCUUCUGGAUGACCAGGCCUUUUACAAUGCCUGUAGGUUUGUUCUCAUUUUCUUACAGCAUCAAACUUUGGCUUGUCUUUCCAGAUCUUCUUGCCUUUGUAGGCAAUAUUAGUCUUUACUUGAAAGGCACCUUCUUGAUGCUCCUCCAGUCUGCUAGCUCUUCUCUGUUCUAGUGCAUAGAGAGCAUUAAUCAGCUCUGUUAGGGAGAUGCUGGUCAGUCCCUUGAGUCUUCGAGGGAUGAGAUUUUUGCCUCAUACCUCUCAAGCAAAGUUGAAAUAACCUUCUCCACUAUCCUUGCUUCAUUAAAAUUCUCACCAAUGAGCCUUAUUCUGUUUACCACAACCAUAAUCCUAUCUGAGUACUGUUUGACAGUUUCUUCUUCCUUCAUCUUCAAAUUCUCGAAGUCCCUUCUCAAGUUUAACAACUGUUGCUGCCUUGUCCUCUCUGUCCAUUGAAACUCAUCUUUCAACUUGUCCUAGGCCUGCUUUGGUAUUUCACAUGCCAUAAUCCUUAUGAAGAUCACAUCUGACACUGAGUUCUGGAUGCAAUACAUGACCUUGUGCCUCUUGGUCAUUUUAUCAGCAUGUUGCCUGAUUUAAGCUACUGUUGGAUUGGCUCUGAGUGGAUCUGGUUCAAAAUCAGAGUUGACCACCUCCCACAGAUCGAAAGCCUGCAGGUAGGUCUUCAUUUUGACCACCCAUAUGUGAUAGCCUUCUCCAUUGAAGACUUGUGGUACAGCUGGUGAGAAGUUUGAUGAGGCCAUCUUUUUAUACAACAGAUCCCUUAAGAUUAAGGCUCUAGAUACCAAUUGUUGGUGUUGAAAUCAAAGAACAGACAAGCUCAGCUAGUACCUUGUGCAACAAGCCUCGAUACUUGCUGAGUAAACAAUCAGAUUUGAAGCAAAAGAAAGAAGAAAAAAAGUAAAGAAAAAUGAGAGAGUUUUGAUGGAUUUGAACUAGCUUUCAUUCAUACUCAAAAUAAUGGCAUAAUGCCAAUACAUAAGCCAAGCAAUUUGCUUGUCAAAAAAUAGUAAGCAGUCACCUAAACAAUACCUACCACCACUAAUUAUAUUGAAACUUGAAAAACAAAACUUGUAAGCAUGGACAAAGCUGAGUUUACAGCUCAUACACCAUCUAAUUACAUCAAUCAUAAGAUUAACUUAGUUUAAAUUGAACUAAGUACAUUACAUUAACUUAAAAAUACAAAAUGAACAAAAUAGAAACAGUUGAGCUUGUUCCAGUAGCUCCUGCAUGGCACGAUAUUCAUGGCCUGCUUGUUGUCUGCUUCUUGCUUCAUGCUGACCAACAUUCAUCAGUAACUGUGAGACAGUUGAAGGGCAAGAAUGCUGCGUUGCGCCUUGCGUUUGCUAAAGGUACUUUAUAUUAUAUAUGUGUAUGUAGUGAGCAGAAUACUAUGUGUUAAUUGAAUCGUUUGGUACCCUUUGAUUGAUCUUAGGGAAGGGGAUAUAAAUGUCGGGAUUUGAACCCCAAACUUAGCUUUUAUUACAGGAAGAGGAUCAAUUUUGGCUCGGUUAAGCUUAAUGUGUUAAGAACCAGAUAAGAACAUAAUAUAUGGGAACACUUUGGCCAUACGAGGCUAAUGCUUAUAUGAUUCGCUUUACAGACUACAUGCUCCUAGGGAUAACUCUUCUGUAAGUACUAUUAGUUGAAUAGCUUUAUGAUGUAUUAAUCUAUAAAAUCUGGGUGUCAUAUUAUGAGUUCCAUUGCUAUGUUAAUCUAUGUACUAACAAUAUUAUGAAGUAAGGCAAUUUUGUGUACAUUACAUUGGGAUGCAAGCUGAAUUACCUUUAAUCAGCUUCAACCAUACAUACAUAUACAUAUAUAUAUAUGAAGUUAAGAACGUAAGUGCUGUUAAAUGGUACAUUACUCAGAUUGGUAAUAUAAUGGUGCCGAAUGUUCUAAAAUUUAACAAGUAUUACUGGUAAUAUAUUAAUGAAGAUAAAGAUAAAAGUUUUCUCGGGAAAACAAGUGUUAUCCUUCAUUUAUCUUGAUGAUUCUCUAACGCCGCCAAUUUCCCCCCUAAGUUUACAGCAAGAAGAAGAAGAAAAAGAAGACAAACGGCAACGUUAAGCCAUUUAAUUUCAUCCCAGGUUAAUUUUUUUUGUAAAUUAAACAUUUUUUGUAUACAUUUUGUUACCUAUUUAUUUUAUGUUUUUGAAGUUUCCAUUGCCAUUUCUACCUUUCCAAAAUGGUGUCUUUUUACUUGUUUUUUACUGGGUUAUUGACAUUUGUUCCAUAGAAUAAAUUUCUUUGAUUUUAGGGUUCUAUAUGUAUUUUUUUUAUUUAUGAAUUUGAACUUGAGUUAUCCAUAAAAAUUCGACCUUUAAUCUCAAUAUAUUUAUAGUCUAUAAAUUUUGACUUUUCUUCCAAUAAUAUAUCUCCAAAAUUCUAACUUAACCUUUUUAAACUUUGUCAUGUCAUUAUUAUUAGAGUUAAUUGCACCAAAUAUCUCCAAACUAUGGUUCUUCUUCUAAAAUAGUCCUCAAACUCAAAAUAUUGUAAAUUACAUUUCCAAAUUAUCAAUAUUAUAUCAAUAAUGUUCUUCUAUUGCUAAAAUCAUGAAAUGAGACGUCAAAUCUUAUCAGACAUAAUUUAAAAUAAAAAACUUAAAAAAAAUAAUUAUUGUAAAAAUAUUGAUUUCAAGGUUUUCGAAGUUAUUACAAAAACUAUCAUUCAUUUUCUCUUUCACUUUAUUUUUAAUUUUUAUUUUUAAAAGUUGUAUCAACAACAUUUUACUUUUCUCUAAAAAUAUCAUUUUUCAUUAAUAGUUUCAAUAAUAAAAGGAUGAGAUAAAUAGUUUAAAAUAUUUUAAAGUUGGGAGAAUAAUUUAAAAUAAAGAUGCAAUAUUGUUAAUCUAGUACUAUUUCAUAAUAUCAUUUUAUCGUUUCAAGUUUUAAAGACAACAUUUUUUUUUUGAAAUAUUUUAAAGACAACAUUUAAAGAUUGACUAUAAUAAUAUUGUUACAUGGAAAAAGAAUCCCACGUCAGCUAAAUGGCUUACGUCUGACGUGUGCUUAGUGUUAUUAAAAAAGUCAAAGGUUGAGAAAGUCUGAGGCGAGUCACACAUAUCACACGCCAUGCACAGGUUUCCUUAUUUCGAGGCUAAAAUACCAAAAUACCAUCACAUUUCUCGUUAAAUUUACCACUUAAUCAACGAUCCUCUAAAAAUGAUGUAAGGACAUAUUAGAAAUUUUAAUCACAAUAAUAUCACCAAAUCUGAAAAAUUACAAAUGAGGCAAAAAAAAAUACGAGUAAUAUUUAGCCAUAAAAUGUAUAUAUUCAUUCCCUCUAAACCAGGUGGUUAAGCCUCACAAUCCAACGUAACUGUAAACCUUUCUUGGCAGCCAUGAAAUCAGUUCUAAAAUCCCUUGCAAACUCAAUCUUCCUUGUUCUUUCCAUCAUCUUUUCAUCUUCUACUCCACUUGUAUUGGCUCAAUGUGAAGCAGAGACCAAGACUAAUGGAUGCCAUAACUACAGAGAAUCCAUGAAGCUAAAAAUCAUUGCCAUUGUCGCAAUUUUACUAUCCAGCAUGAUUGGCGUGAGUCUGCCAUUGUUUUCUGGUCAGGUUCCGUCACUUAAACCCGACAGGGACUUGUUCACCAUUGUCAAGGCAUUUUCCUCCGGUGUUAUUCUAGCGACUGGGUACAUGCACGUGCUACCGGAUUCUUUUAACGACCUUAUGUCCGGGUGUUUGCCUGAAAACCCAUGGAGGAAGUUCCCUUUCACAACCUUCGUCGCAAUGCUGUCGGCUGUGUUGACCCUUAUGUUGGAUUCAUUUGCAAUGAGUGUAUACAAGAAACGUUGCGGUAAAGCUCUAAUGGCGGAUGCUAACAAUGGUGGUGGAUUGGAAAAUACGAACGUUGUACAAAUCGAUAAUUUUGAACACGGCCAUAGCCAUUCACUUGAGAUGAAUGACGACGUAUCAUCACAAUUGUUAAGGCAUCGAGUUAUUGCUCAGGUAUAUAUACAUGUUUGAAUCCUCAAAUUCGAUGGUUUUGCUUUUCAAGUCUUUACAUUAUAUAUUUCCUAAAUGUAGGUAUUAGAGUUGGGAAUUGUAGUUCAUUCAGUGGUGAUUGGCCUUGCCAUGGGAGCCUCUGGCAACCAAUGCACCAUUCGAUCACUCAUUUCUGCCCUUUGCUUCCAUCAAAUGUUUGAGGGGAUGGGACUUGGUGGAUGCAUACUGCAGGUAACCCCCAACAUUGCACUAUUUUCUCAUUCAAACAUCCAUUUAGUGUACAAUAUUGAUUAACAUUAUGUUUGAUAUGUGCAGGCUGAAUAUGAGAUAAAAAUGAAAGCAAUCAUGGUAUUCUUCUUUUCAGCCACAACGCCACUUGGAAUAGUUCUGGGAAUUGGUUUGUCCAAGGUUUACAGUGAGACGAGUCCAACUUCACUUAUGGUGGUGGGACUACUUAAUGCUUGCUCAGCAGGGUUGCUGAAUUACAUGGCACUGGUUGAUCUCCUUGCAGCUGAUUUUCUGGGCCCUAAGCUUCAAACAAAUAUGAAGCUCCAGGCUUGGUCAUAUGUUGCAGUUUUACUUGGUGCUGGAUUUAUGUCUUUGAUGGUAAAAUGGGCUUAGUCAUGUCAACAUAUACAUGUCUUUUUGUAGUUUUUUAAUCUUAUUCUUCUUCUUCUUCUUUUUUUUUGUUUCAACAGAUGAGUUUAUAGUGAAUCAACACUUAUUCAAUCAAUUAUAAAAUUUAGGCAAAGAAUUUAGGCAACAAGGCUUGAACAUUGAUCUUUAAGAUCGUUUACUCCAUAUUGCAGGGCUCAUCACAAAGUAUAUAUAUCAGAAAAGUAUGCAAACUUCAAUUUUGUGUCAAUAUCAUUAUAAUUUAAACUGUUUAAUGUUACAUCAGAUGUAGAUGUCUUUAAGCCAAUGCUUAUAGCCACAAAGUCUCUUUGGUGCAAGCUAUAAGUACAGAGUUAUGCUAUAAAUAAACAAUUAAAUAAUUUGUAUUUAAAAUAUCAAAUACUAAAAACCAAUAAAUAAGAUUAGAAAACCAAAAAUCGGAUAAAGAAUCAAAUUUUUCUAGAUGUUGGGGCUUGUUUUACACAGUUUCCUUAAGAUAGAUUUGUCUACUCCUACUGUACUUGGUGAAAUGUUGGGAGACUAUCUAAUAGGAUACAACAAAACAAUGAUCGAAAUAAUAGCAUCUCUACAGAGACCAAUGAACAACCUUGCCUUUUUCUAUCACCAGAACAUUGGAAAAUAUAGAGAGAAAAAGAGAAGAAUUUUCGAGAGCAAAAUAAACUUGGUUUUAGAGAGUUUUUUAGUGUAAAAAAAUUUGAAGAAUUCUUAAGCAUUCAAGAUGGAGGAAUUUUGGAAAUAUCCAUAAUUAAAUAUACAAAAUCUGUAUUAAAUGAGCAAUUAAAUCAUAAUAUAUGUCCUUUUUAAAUUAGAUUUUAUAUAUAUUUGUUGAGAAAAUUAAAUUUUGUGUUGGGCUUAAAAUAUCCACAGGCCCAAUUGACUGGUCUAGACAUUUCACAUCGCCCAUGUAGUGCGAGUGCGCUUCAACCCCGAUGGGUUCGGAUCUACACCCCCCUCGCGUGGGACAAAGUUUCAAACUUAGUCAUUCAAUUAUCCUUCAAGUGGGUUCUCAUAUAUAAACACAUCUCACAUUUGGUAUUUAAUCAAUGUGAGAUCUAAGCUUUUCUUUUCCUCAACAAAUAUUCACAACUUACUUUGAGCAUUAAUUUCUCGCUCAUCACUCAACCAUUUUGAGCAUACGAUAUACUAUUGUAAAGGUAUCAUGGAGUAGAAUAUAAAAUCAUAAUUUUAUGAUUCAAUUCUCCACUUAUACCAAUUGAGAAUAUGCUUCAAAGUUUCUAAAAGUUACAAUUUUUUCAACAUUUUAUACAUCUACUUUAAAGGUAUAAUCAAGCCCAGCAGAGCCCGAAUAAUGACAAGCUUGAACUUGACUCAAACAUCACUUUUUAAGCUCAAUCUUGAUUCAAAACAUAAUUGAGCUGAUUAAGCUCGUUUAUCAAUUUUUAUAAUCAAACUCAUUUAUAAUUAAGCUCUUUUUAUAUAUCAAGGAUAAAAAUGUAAUUUUAUAAAUAAAAAAUAUUUAAAUGGAAUGCUUAAUUAGGUUUGUGGGCUACUUGAAUCAAGUAUUACAAUAUUUAAAUUCAGCUUAAUCAAUAGCUCGAGCUCUACUCAAUAAUUUUUGAUAAAAUUUUAAGAUUUUUUGAAUCCAAUUAGAAUAGCUUGCAAAUAUAAUGUAUCAUUGUACUCUUAAUUUUAAGUUUACAUUUUUAAUUCUUAAAAUAAUAUUAAAAAGUUCUUUCUUUCUAAAAAGAAACACCCAAUCAAUUGAAGGCUUUUUAGAAAGUGGUGGCAAAGUGCAUCCUUUACUUUAAGUCUCACUAUAUCUAAAAAGAAAUUAAUGCGAACUGUAGAAAGUGGUAGGAAUGUGCAUCAUUAUUGCUUUAAAAGAAUUUCAAUCUUUAAACGGAUAGAAUUAAAUUUUCAUAAUUUGGAAGAGUUAAAGUGUAAUUUUUUUAUUUUAAAAUUUUAAAAUUUUUUAAAGAGUUCAAAUAAUAAUUUUUUAUUUUAAGAGAGCCGGGCUCCUGUCAACUCCUGGAUUCGCCUCCGUAAUUUUCAAAAUUCAGUUAAAUUAUGUUAUUUUGAAUAAAAAGUUAAUUGAUAAAGAAAUUCUUUUAGUUUCGAAAAUUCAAUUUUUUUGUUUUAAAAAAAUAUUAAAAUUUAAAAAUUAAAAGAUUAAAGUAAUAAAAUUUCUCCCAAUAUCAAUGACUUUUUGAUACAUGCACGAAUGAAGUGAAAUUUAUUAGAUUCCAAUCAUCAAAACUACUAAUUUUCAGGCUUGGGAAAUUAGCAGACUUGCAAUGACUUUUUGGAUGGGAUUCUGGCAUUUUUGGGUUGAGAUGUCUCAUGGCAUUUGAAGAUCAAUCUCUUAGCUUUGAAACGCAUUUUGUAUCACUCGAUUUUGAGUUCGGGAGCUCAAGUUAUGACUGUUUUAGUGAAGAUUGCGCGAGCAAAAUUUCUGAACGAGAUUAUGACGGGAAUUACGAAUUUUGGGCUUUUAAUUCGUGUUUAAAUCAUAUUGAGUUCAGGUUUUAGACUUAAUUUUUAUUAUUAUAUAUGAGCCUAAUAUUAUAGUUGUUAGAUCUUAUUAUUUUAUUCCAAAAUUUUGAUAAUUAUUAAGUAUUUUAAGUUAUUUAGGAGUUUUAUAUUAACAAGAAAAUUCAAUUUAAAACUCCUUCUUAUUUAGAUUAAAUUAGAGUUCUAGUAUACUUAAAAGUUUUAUUUAGAUUUAUUUAGCUAGUCUAUAUGUAGGCCUUAUUCAUUAUUAUUCUAUUUCUCUUUUAAGUUAAUAAAUUCUCUCUGGGUUUUUUUUUUUCAAGAAUUUCUCUUGAGUUUCUUUUAGAAGAGUUUUAACAAUCAUUUUAGAUUGUGAGGAUCAUUUUCAAACUUUUUGUUGCCAAGGUUUCUAUCUUGAAGGGGAAAUUAGAGCCGCUUGAAGGAGGUUAUGAAUUAUUCGUGUUUCCAAGGCUUAUUAGGACUUCUACACGUCACGUUCUAUCUUUUCAUUUAUCUUCUUUAUUUGCUUCCUUAAUCUUUAAUUUAUUAUUUUAUUUUAGUUAUUUAUUUUAAUUGUUUUAUCUGACUUGGAUUCAAUUUCGUUUCAGGUUGUGUCAAAAUCAAAUUUCUUUUCGAACGUUUAGAACCCUAAGUCAAAUCCGUGAUUUUGACAAAUUUUAUGAUCCACUUUCGCGUUCAUCCUUCUCAUCCUUUAUCACUUUUGCUACUUUUCUUGCUUCUGUCGAUGCAUAUCCUGACAAGCCUUUAACUAUCAUGAGAAGCAAAGGAGAGAAGCAAAGGAUAAAUACACUACGUAUGAUAUAAAUAUGAUUAAUUUUCCUUGAAAUAUUAAUUAUUAAAUACAUAUUAAAAUAUAGAUAUGGGAAUACAAUCUUUUAUAAUAAUCACCCACUAUGACACCAUUUCGUUGUAAUUAUUAAUUUUUUACUAAAAUCGAUAUUAAUAUUUUAUUUUAAUCUUCUAUAACAACUUUUCACUUAUAAUAGCAAUAUCCAUAUACAUUCUUUAUUAAACUAUUUCUCUAUAACAUCGUAUUGUUUAAAUCUUUAAGUAAUAUAACGACCACCAUUUUAUAAAAGAUAAAAUCUAGACAGACAAGUUAAGUAAUUUUAGUUUAGUAAAUUGUAUUUUUUUUCUGAAUGAUUUAGAUUAAUUGCUUUUUUCCAACACCAUGAAAAGCUGAUUUCAAACACAAUAAUUGGCGAUAGUGUGUUCCUUCUUUUGUCACCUUUACCAAAAGGGAAAAUAAUUGGCGAUAGAGUGUUGCUUUCGUUUGUCAACUUUUCAGCUGUAGCCACCAAAUGAUAAGAAUCCAUGAAGCUCCACUCUCAAGUAUUUGUGUUUCUUUAGGAUUCUAUUGUUUACAUUUCAAAUUUUGUUUAGAUUGAGCUGCCCUUUGUCAAAUUACUUCUCGCAUUACUCCGUUAAGAAUAUUAUCUUUUCGCUCGUUCGUAACUGCGACAACUAAUCGCUGAAUCCUUCUCUUAUACGUUGGAAAGGUACGCCAUCUGCUUUCAUUUUGGUUGAUUUGGUCUUACUUCUUGGUUUACGGAAGCUUUACUUUUUGCUCGUUUUAUUUGUAACUUUUUCUUCUGAUUUUGUUUUGGUCUUUGUUGUCGCUGUGGUUAUUCAGUUUACUUCUUGUUUGAUCUCUCAAUGGAGUUUGUUACUACCCUAGUUGGCUCUAUUGUCACUAAAGCUGUAAAGUAUACGAUCUCUCCUAUCAAAAACCAUAUCAAAUACCUUUCCAAUCAUCAACAAUAUGUUGAGACCCUCAAGGACUAUAUGUUUAGUUGGUAAAAAAAGGAGAAAAAAAGAAGAAAGAAAACCACUUUGCUUAGUUGGUAAAAGCCAAAGUUGUGAGUAUUGAAUAAUCAGAUUCGGAAUUUAGAGUGAUAGCAUAUAGAAUAUUUUCCCAUUAAAAUAUGUUUUGGUAUACGACAUUUUAGGGUUGUUGGCUAGUCAUUACUGAGCUGCUUCCUUUCUUUUAAAGUAUGAUGAAGUCAUCUUUCUCAAAUCACUACUUUCUGGGUUUGCUCUGUUAAGAACAAGAAAAAAAGAAAAAAAUUGGAAGUUAUCGAUCACAGCCAAAAGGUACGCCAUCUGCUUUUCUUUUCCCUGCUUUGCUCUUACUCUUCUGAAAUACUUGUCGGUAUAAAUAAGCUUAGGCAGGCAGUUUUAACCAUGAAAAUGGACUUCUUUUAUGCUUUAAAUCUAUUUAGCCCUUCUAUUUUAGCUUUAGGAUUUCGAGUCCUGUACUUUUUCGAUUUAAAAUCUUCAUCUUUCCAUUCAAAUUUACCCUUAGUGUUGUUGACCUGACAUAUAUAAAAAGAUCAAAUAAAUUUUUUAGCCUUAAUUUGAUCUUUACUUUAUAAAAUUACAUAAAAAUUCAGAAUUAAAAAGAAAACAUAUUUCCACUAAAAUCCAUUAAAAAAUUGUGGAAAACACUCUUUAAAGUUCGUGGAAAAAAGGGAUAAGAAGGGGUGACUAUUAGGAAAGCUGCAUAAGCACUUUUGUUUGUGAUCUAUCAACAAAUUGUGGCUUCCACAUACUGCAAUAUGGUUAUUAAGAGGUUGAGUACUGCUUUAUCUUGUAGAAGGAGGAUUUGUAGUAGAUCUAAUCAUAAGUUGGGUUAAUAUAAAAAUUUUAGAUUUGUUUUUAGGGUCCGGAUCGCCUCAACUAAAAAAAUGCGCUAAAAUUUUAUUUAAGUUCAACCCAGAUAAAAAAUACUAAAUCUGAACCCGUCUGUAUUAGAUUAUUUUUAUAUAAAAAUAAAUUUAAAAAAUAUAAUACAUCAAAUACUCUAAAAAUAUUAAAAUAAAUGUUUCUCAACGAAUUGAAAAUAUAUUUAAAAAAAUUCUUUAUACUUAAAUAAAACUAACAUAGUUGCAACUUAGCAAACAAAUGUUUCUAAAAUAAUAGUAAAAUUAAAAAUAAAAUAAGAGUUAUACAAUAUCUAAAUAAUAGUAGUAAAAUAACAACAUAACAGCAAAAAACAACAACGUAAAAGCAGUAAACAGCAGCAAAAAAAUAGUUAAAUUUGGGUUAGGUCCAAACUAAAAAAAUCUUACCUGAAGCUCAGCCUGUUUAAAACGAGAAUUUAUUUUUUUCGAAGUUUAUUUUUUGGGUUUGUAUUAUUACCUAAAAUAUAAUGAUUGUAUUAUUAAAAUAUUAAUCAUAUAAAUAGUUACGGAAGUGUGUAAAAUUACUUUAAUUUUUACAUUGUGUAAGUAGAUCAUUCCCCUUAAUAUUAAUAAAUUUUCAUUUUGUUAUAACAUAAUAUUUAAAAUAUGAAUUAAGAUUAAAAAUUAAAUUAAAAAUAUGAAUAUAAAUAGGGUGAGGAUUUAAUACUUUUUGUUAUUCCACAAGUAACCUUAAAAAAUUGACAUGUCUCUCUUUCCUUUAAAUAUUUUAUUAUACUCUUAUAAAACACUUGUCAAUCCCUUGGUCCUGCUAGUGGAGUCUAAAAACUCCAUUGGCAGUGUACUAAGUGAUUUCUCAUAAUUUAUUAUUGAAUUUUUUAAAUUCCACAAGGAAAGUCAAGAAGUUGAUAAAUGUCUUUUUAGAAGUAUAGUAAAAUAUUUUAAAAAAAUUAAAGAUUUUAAUACUGCUUGUAGAAUAAAUAUGUACAAGCCCAAAUUUACCAGGGGCCCAAAAACCCAAUUACAACCAAAACCAAACCCAAAAGACCUAGCCCAAUACCCCUAACCCAACCCAAACAACAGACCCUAAACAUUUAAAAACCAAGCCCAAUUACAAUACCCGACCCAAUAACCCUAAGCCCGAUUAACAGUAGCCUAAAGCCUAACAUCAAAUCAGAAACAGACCCCCUGCUGCCGCUGCCGCGCCACUUGCUCUGCCACCGCCGCGCCUACUUCACCCACUUGCCUACAGAGAAAUGACAAGCAAAAAAUAUUGUAAAAAAUGGCUAUAAAGCCAUAACAACUAUUGUAAACGGGGUCUUCUUCCCCCCUUUUUUUCCACGAGCAUGAAAUAAAAAAACACAACACUUUCAAGGUUUUUUCUUUUUUCAUUUUAGGUACUUAUUUUGGUUAUAUAAUCCUUUUAUUUAUUUAUUUUACAUAUAUGAAAAUAUAAAAAAAAAGAGAGAAAAGGGAAAGAACCUACCGGAGUCAAUCCGCGUCUUUGUCGUCGGAGACCUCUUCUCUGGUGCCUAAAAUCAGUCGUUGAGAAUGUUGAUGGCCUCUUGCCCUUUGUUUUUUUGGUUGUUUUGAGGCCGGAUCCGAACUCAGUGGGUUAGUAUCUAAAAAAAGGACACUUUUUUACCCUCGUCGGCCUCCGUGCACGGUGGCAUCGAUGCUGGCGAUCGACGGCCGACACAGUGGCCUUUGAUUGAACGCUCGGCCGGAGUGUGGGGGAGUAGAGAGGAUUUUGCUUAGUUGUUUUAAGGGGGAGGGUGAAAAUGAAAAAAUUCUAAAAAUUUUGGCUUUUAUAGCCUAUGGGAAACGGCGCCGUUUCAUCCGGCCUCCACAGGCGCCAAAACGGUGUCGUUUUGGGGAGGCCGACCCGAACCUAACCUGUCUGCUCUAAGAUCCGCGCGUUUUAAGAUGGAAGGGCUAAUUGCACUUUUAGCCCUUCCGCCUUCUUUAUGUUUUUAAUUAAGUAUUUUUGUUUUUUCAAUUUUGCACAGUGAUUUUUUUGCGAUUUCGAUUUAGUCCUCGCUAAAACGAUGUCGUUUUGGGGGAAAGAGAAAAUUACCCUUUCAGUCCCUCCAUGUUAUUCGCGUGUUCAGAUUGGUCCUUUCCUUUUAUUUUACUUUUGAUUUUGCCCCAAAUCUUUUCCUUAUAAUUCAAAUUAGUCCUUUUUUGUUAUUUUAUUAUUUUAUUAAUUAACUCAAUUAUUUUAUUUAUUCCUCAUUAUUGUACUAUUAUGUUGUGUUAUUAUUGUUAUUAUAUUUCCAAUUUGUUUAUUGAUCUAAGUUUAAAUAUUUUUAAUCUCAUUAUUAUUAUUAUUAUUAUUAUUAGUUACUCAUUUGUACCUUUUUAAUUUUAGAUUUAAUUAUAUACAUACAUAUCUUUGAUUUAUAUAUAUAUAAAUACUUAUAUAUAUAUUUUUUACAUUUUAAAAUAUGUAUAUUUUUAUAUUUUUAUUUUUAUUUUUUUUAUGAUUCACAUAGAUAUAUAUUUAUAUUUUAUAAUUUUUAUCGAUAUUCUUUGUUGUUAUAAUUGCUUCACUUGGUGUUCACUUAUUUAUUUAUUUACAUGUCCAUUAUUAUUAUUAUUUUUAAAUGCUUUAGUUUUUAUUUGUUUAUUACUUGUUAUUGUGUAUACAUGAUUGAUUUUUUUAUAUAUAUAUUUGUCUUCUUAUUUAUUUAUCUUUUUGUUUUUGCUCGUAUUAUUUUUACUUACAUUAUCAUAAUUGUUAUUCCAUUACAUCAAUUUUUACCAGAUUUGUAAAAGAGAAAAUUUUGAAAAUAAAGGCAAUACUCAGUAUUUGGGAUCUUCGAGAGGAUUGAGCCCUAACGUAUUGGGAUCCAAUUUUCUUCGUUGAAUCUAAAUAAUCGAGAAUGCUCUUUAAUAAAAAACAUAAAUAAAAAGCUCAUUAUCGGGAAUUCAAUACGUUGUGUCCUAACACAUUGGAUAUGACAUGUUGUUUUCUCGAGAUGAGGAUUUUUCUAAAAAAAUAAUAAAGGCAAUAUUCAAUGUUUAGAAUUUUGAGAAAUUGUGCCCUAACGUAUUGGGCUGCGAUUUCUUCAUCUGACUUAAACAAUUGAAUAUCCUUUUAAAUUUUAUUGCACGAGUUUUUUGGACAAGCUCAUUUUUGAGGAGGUGAAAUGUCAUGCCCUAACUCAUUGGGUGUGACAUUUUAUCUCUCCGAAAUGAGAGGGUCUUAAUGGGUAAUUUGUUUUAUAUAAGUUUUUUUUUUACAAAAGAUCGUAUUUUUAAAUUUCUUUAAAGUUUUUAAUUCUCAACACUAAGACACUAAUUAAUCAACUAGGUACCAAUUUUAGGCGUUACGAGGGUGCUAAUCCUUUCUCGUACGUAACUGACUCCCGAGCCUAUUUUUUUGAAUUUCAUAGAACAAAAUCGUUGUUUUAAUAAAAUUAAAUUGUUUAUAAAAAACAACCAUUUUUCGAGGUGUCCCGAUCACACCUCAUCAAAAAGGAUUGGUGGCGACUCUAGUGUUCUUUUUGCAUUCAUUUCGUGCAUUUGCAUUACAUUACGUCAUGAACAUUAAAGUCCACCAAAGAGCCUAAUUGAUUAAAAUUAUUUCAGUUAAUAUGGAAAACCAACACCCUUGCGGUACCCGAACAGAAACUAAAGGAAUAGACCAAAGGUUGGAGAGGUUAGAGCAGAUGCAAAUAUAGAUGCUAGAGCAAUUGACCAAAUUUCAACAAGAUAUGAAGGAUCAGAUGCUAAAAGUCCAAAGAAAUCUGAUGAGCCAGUUAACCCAGUUAUUGGAUAAAGGGUUAGAAAAAGGAAAAAACCAAACGGUCUACUUUAGAGAUGAUAAUGAAGACCCUGCUCAUUUUCCAGACUUUACCCCAACAAACAUCCAAGCACAACCGAAUACAUAUCCACAAAGGGUAACUGUUAACAUCCGACCACAAUACCAGACUAGUACCUCGACACCGGUGAAUUUCGCGACAGGCUCAGGUUCCAACCUUAAGGGCAAUUUAACUAAUCCCGUUGUCCUUGAUGAUCUAGCGGGAGUAAAACAGGCGAGAGUGGAGUUCUCAAAACAAUUUGGAGAUAGUUACAAACAGAAAGGGCAAAAAUGGAGCCCCCAAAUCAAUACUUCGAAAGCACCGAAGAAGAGGAAAAAUGAGGUGAAUGAUGCGAGUAGGUAUAACGAGGGUUAUUCAAAGGCGAUUACUGCAAGCCAGCCAAGGACGGUUGCUUCUAGCCAUUAGAUCCCCCAGAGACAAGAAUCCGGCACAAAGCAAAACAUUGAGAAGUCCCAAUUUACACCAAUCCCAAUGUCAUAUCGGGAGCUGUAUCAGAGUUUAUUUGAUGCACACGUUAUUUCUCCUUUCUACGUGAAGCCUUUACAACCUCCGUACCCCAAAUGGUACGACAAAAAUGUGCAAUGUGACUACCAUGCGGGAAUUACGGAGCAUUCUAUAGAAAAUUUCCCUACCUUUAAAAGGUGGUUGAAAGGCUCAUCAGUAUGGGCAUUGUUAAGUUCGAUACAGAAAAUUUGUUGCCCAAUCAUAUUGAUAAUCGGGGUGAAUGCGAUGAAUGAAGAAAUGUUGGGAAAUGUUCACAUCAACGUCGUAUACAAAGAAACAACUGAAGAAGAGACCUUGUUAGAUAUCCACCUUUAUAAACUUGGGAGUCUUCUAAAUAAAUCGGACUGUAGAAGAAAUCUCUGUAUCAUUUAAAGCUUAUUUAGAGUAAUGUUCAAAACACUUUUGUUGCUUUUGGCCUAGAUGCAGUAAGAAUGUCUAUGUGAAAUAGGCUCAUGUCUGAAUAUUAUCAUUUUAAUGAAAUCCAUUAUUGUGAUUAUUUUGAGCUAGUAUUCUUUCAUUCUUUACAAAUAAUUAUGUUUGAUUCUUUCAUUCUUUUGGAUUUUCUUCCACAUCAUUCUUUCAUUUAUAAUUAUAUUGUACAAAUAAUUAUUCAUAAAUUCAUACAUUCUUUUUAUAUUCUUUUGUACCUACAAUGGGUCCCUAGAUAUCAAUGACAUGAGUGACGCUGCUACAGACUCAGAAUUUCCUUUUGAGCGAGACAUGUGUUUAAAGGGAUCUCAUUACUUUAUUAAAAUUUUUUUGGGUGCAGCCUGACCAAUGGGCAACACUAGACUAAAAUGUGAUGAUCUAAAAACUCUAGGGGCCUUAUAUGUCAAAUUUUCGUUUUUAUUGGCAAUUGAUUCAAAGGGUGUCGCAUGACAGGCGGCACCAAACUUUAAAAAGGAUAAAUUCACCCUAAAUCCCCCUUAUUUAUUAUUUUUCUUUAACACCAAAAAUAGAUUGCCUUUUAUAAAUUAGUCUAAAUUUUUUUUACCAAAAAGUAUUUUUGUAAGUAAACCGUUUCCAUUUGGAAAUAAUUUUAUUUCUUUUUAGAAAAUAUUUAUAAUUUUAUUAUCAAAUUGAUUUAUGUACACGGUAUAAAAUUAUAAUUAUAAAAGCUUUAGAAAAAUCUUAUUAUGUAUAAAUUAUAAUUAUUAGUUAAAUUUAUAGUUUCAAAUAUAAUGAGAGAAAAAGAAAACUACUAUAAAUAUAGUUAAUUGUAAUGUCAAACAUAAUGUGAAUUUUUUGUUUGAAAAAUAAAUAAAAGUUAUUUUGAGUUGGAAUCGACUUACUUUCAAAAAUACUUUUGGUAAAAAAAAAUUAGACUAAUUGAUAAGAGGCCAAUUUAUUAUUGGUGUUAAAAGAUAAUAAAAAUUAAUAAUAAAUAGGAGGUUUAGGGUGCAAUUUACCCUUUUAAAAUUUGGAGCCGUCAUACAGGCGGCACCCUUGAAGAGUUUUUCGACUGUCAAUUAAAAUGGAAAAUUUCCAUAUAAGGUCCCUGAAAUUUUUAGAUCAUCUCAUUUUAGCCUGGUGUGGCCGAUUGCUCAGGCUGCACCUGAAUUUUUUUUAAAUAAAGUGAUGCUGUCGAUUGGUUAGGCGGCACCGAUAUUUCACCGUUUCAUUUGACUAUUCUCAUAAAUAUUAAUCUCUUUAUCCUAUUUUGUAUUUAUUUAUUUAUUUUAUAUUAUUAACGUAAAAAACCCUAUAUUGUGACUUGCGGAAACGUGGAAUGAAAACCAAUUAGGUUUUUUUUUUAAGUUUUUCUUGAAUUAAAAUGCAACCAAUAAAAAUAAUUGAUAUUUUAAUUUAAUAAAAAUAAAAUUAAUUAAUAUUUGAGUAUUUAAUUUUAAAAAUUAUCAAGAUGUAAUUACAACAAUUAAUUUUAAAAGUUAUUAAAGAUAUUUAUAUAUGUCAAUUUUUUAUAAUUAUUAAUGACAUACAUAUAAAUUAAUCAAUUAAUAGUGUGUCUCUCAUAGAUGAUAUUGACAGUAGCGGAGUCAGAAAAUGUUUUUGAAAGACCGGAAUUAAUGUAAAAAUAUAUAAUUUAAAUAAUUUAAUAGCUUUUAUAAUAUUUAAAAUAUUAAAUCAAAAUUUUUUAUCAUUUUAAAGAAGAACAAAGUAUAAUUUUACUUUUAUUAAUUUAAAAUUUUAUAAAUUAUAAAAAUUAUAUAUGAAACCGGAUACUGUCAGCCCCUAUGACUAUGUAAGCCUUGAAAACAUCCUUCCUUAUUGAAUGUCUUUUUCUACUUUGGCAGUGGUGUGCUUUCUUUGAUUCUAGCAGCUCCUUUUAAAUAAAAUUUCCAAAAAUAAUAGAUAUUAUAUGAGGAAUAGUUGGUUGAAGAAAGAAACAGCAAAAAAAUAAAAAAAUUGGCAAAUGACCUUUCAAGAGCUGCAUUUAAUACAUGGAUACUUAAUAAUUCAUUUAUUUAAGGGUAAACUAUAAAAAUAGUCACUUUUGUUUACCUCAGAUUACAUUUUAGUCACUUAUGCUUGAAACGUUACGGUUUAGUCACUUACGUUUUCGUUUUGUUACGAAGCAGUCACUCUACCGUUAAGCUUUGUUACCUCCCUAACAGUGGUCCUACAUGGUAGUCCAAAUGAGUUUUAAAUGCCAACUUGAAUGUCCUACAUGACAGUCCAAAUUAAAUUUAUUUAAUUACAAACUUAUUUUCAUCCCAGCAAAUAGACAUCCAAGUUAACAUUUAAAACCCAUUUGGAUUGCCACGUAGGACUAACGUUAGGGAGGUAAUGGAGUUUAACGGUAGAGUGACCACUUCGUAACAAAACGAAAACGUAAGUGACUAAGACAUAACAUUUCAAACAUAAGUGACUAAAAUGUAAUCUGAGGCAAACAAAAAUGACUAUUUUUAUAAUUUACCCUUUAUUUAAUAAAUUAUUUUAGGGACCGAACAUAUAUCUUUUUCAUUUCGUCGAAAAUCAAUUUUACAGUAUAAACUCCUACGACCUCCCCUCCUAUACCAUGUAGUAAUGAUUCCUCUAACAAUUUCUCAAUUCAAUAAAAGAAAAAAGAAAAGAGGGUCUUAAAUAAUGAGAGAUAUGUAAAAAGGAACUCCUUUUUUACUUUCUAGUUUAUUUUCUAUUUUAGUAUUUUUUUUACAUCUAAAUUAUAUAGAAUUUUUUAUAUAGAUAUAAAUUUUAAAAUGAAUGAUUAAAAUAGGGAAAUGCUGUUGAGCAAAUAAAAUAUUUUAUGAUUGAAGUUAUUGAAUACUCAAGUAGUGUUACCUUAUAAAUCUCUCAUGUCUUCUGAGAAACAAAAUAACAAAUUAUAUUUCUAAUCUCAUUCCAAAGCAGUCUUAAUCAUAAACUUUGUUCCCACUUUGUUUGUUUUCUUUCAAAAGUUAGACAGAAACUAUGAACUUCUCCACUCUUCAUAAUUCACAAAACAAAUCCCAGUCUACCAUUAUUAACUAAAUCUGUAUUAACUAAUCUCAAUUUCCUAAUCCAACACUGUUUUCUCUUUUUUCAUUUCUUUAAAAACUGUUCCAUUUUUAUACUAUAUUACUCCAUUAUAUUGUGGUCAAGUGAAACAAAAGUAAAAUGUAGUGUAUUUUAAAAAUAAUAUAUAUUUAUUAUAAUUCGGGCCGGCCGGGCUGGGCCCAGGCCAAAAAAGUUUUGCUCAAGGCCCAGCUCAUUUUCUAAAUGGGCCCCUUUUUUUAUCCAAACUCAUACUUCGGGCCUAUAUUUUUACCCGAACCCUCCCAGAACACCUCUAAUUUGCACCAAUUCAUCCCAUUUAAUGCAAACAUAUUAAAUAUUUAUAUGUCCAUAAAAGAGUAUGGUUGGAAAGGCAUUUCGACUACUAGAAAGAAUGAAGGAGAAGAGGAUUCUGGUUGUGUUGGAUGAUAUUUGGGAAAAGUUAGAUAUUGAGGAAGUAGGGAUUCCUUUGGGAGAUGAACACAAGGGAUGCAAGUUGCUGUUAACUUCUAGAGAGCUCAAUGUUUUAGUAAAUGGGAUGGAUGCUCAGAAAAAUUUUCCCAUUGGGUUUUUAAACGAAAAGGAAGCCUGGGACCUGUUCAAGAAGAUGGCUGGAAACUGUGAUGAAAGUUGCGAUUUGAAGCCUAUAGCUAUGGAGAUAGCCAAAAAUGUGCAGGAUUGCCAAUAGCCAUUGCGACAGUUGCAGGGGCUUUGAGAAACAAAAGGUUGUUUGAAUGGAAGAAUGCUUUACGAGAACUGGAGAGGCCUUCUUCAAGCAACUUCACGGGGAUAACUGCGGCACAUUCAGCUAUAGAGUGGAGUUUUAAUUAUUUAGAAAGCGAGGAAGUUAAGCUGACUUUCUUGCACUGCAGUGUAAUAGGCCAUAAUGGUCUCGUUGAGGACUUGGUAAGAUAUACUCCAGGUUUGGGUUUAUUUGAUGGUCUCAAAACUAUGGAAGAAGCUAGAAAUAAAGUAUUGACGGUUGUGGCUAAUCUCAAAGCGUCUGCCUUGUUGCUUGAUAGUUAUGAUGAUGAGCGCUUUGAUAUCCAUGAUGUUGUUUGGGAUGCUGCUUUAGCUAUUGGAUUGAAGGACUAUCGUAUGAUUGUUUUGAGAGAUCAUGUUCCAAAGGAGUGGUCCGAUAAGGAGAAAAUGAAUAGGUGGAGUGUGAUCAGCUUACGUUGUCCUCGGAUUAUAGCUAACCUUCCAAAGGAGAUGGAGUGUUCAGGUCUUUCCUUCUUCCAUAUGGCCGGUGCAGUUAAAAUUCCUCCUAAGUUUUUCAAACAAACCGAAGGCCUCAAAGUCUUAGAUUUGUUCGGAAUGCAGUUUCCAUCCCUACCUGAAUCAAUUAUUCACCUCACGGACCUUCACAUGUUGUGUCUAAAAGAAUGUGCAGUUGAUGACAUAACCAUCCGUGGAGAGCUCAAGAAUUUAGAAAUCCUCGACCUUUCUAAGUCAGGUAUCAAAGAACUACCUAUGGAGAUGGCACAAUUGACUCAAUUAAGGUUGUUAGAUUUUAGUUGGUGUACAAAACUCGAAAUCAUCCCACCAAAUGUCUUAUCAAGUUUGUCUAAAUUAGAAGAAUUAUAUAUGGGUGGAAGCUUUGUUGAAUGGGAAAAGGAAUGAGUAGUUGAAACUGAGAGCAAAAAUGCAAGCCUUGACGAAUUAAACAAUUUGCCUUGUCUAACUACUUUAUAUGUUCAUAUUCUUGAUGCUUAAAUGAUUCCAAAGCAUCAAUUCGUUGAGACAUUGGACAAAUACAAUAUUUGUGUAGGUGAUUAUAAUAGGUUUGUAUGGGUCCAAAAUAAUGAAUUUUCAAGAACAUUGAAGCUCAAGUUAUGUACAAACAUUUAUUUGGAGAAUAGGUUGAAAAUGUUGCUGAUAAAAACAGAAGACUUGCGCCUAGAGGGACUUGAAGGCAUCAAAAAUGUAUUUGUGGAGUUAAAUAAUGAGAAAGAUCUUCCACAUUUAAAGCGACUUCAUGUCAAAAAUGGUAUGCAUGUCCAAUAUAUCAAAAUGGACAAAAUUGAGUUUUCUGAAUUAUACUUCAUCAAACUUAAAAAUCUACCGUAACUCAUUAGCUUUUGCUCUCAAGACGAAAGGUGUUCCAUGAGUUCCAAGUUACUACAACUUUUCAAUAAACAGGUAUUUGCUUGGCUUUAUUCAUAUUUUCUUAUACAAUUUUUAUUUAUAUGCCCAUUGUUUCAUAAUACUUCUAAUAAUAAAAAUAAAUAAUAUUAUGUAAUAGUUUUCGGGGCUCAAAAAUAAAUUUCAAACUCAAAACAUAUGGAAAUUUAAUUUCUAAUCCAAACUUAUUGAAAGUCCAAAAUCAAUUCAAUACUCAAAAUUUAAACCCAACAAUGUUUUUUUUUUAAAUUCUGAAAAUGAAAUUGGAACCCACAAUUCGAACUGAAAUUGUCUUUCAAAUCGAAAAUCAUAUUUCCAAAUUUAUGUUACUAUCUUUCCCUUUCCCCUCCUUUUAGAUUUUUAAGAGAAAAAAAGAAUUGUGUGUAAAUAUGUGCAAUUUGUUUUCCAUCACUUGGAAAGCUUGUAAUUGUGUUCCAUUAACACCAAAAUAAUAUGGCACAACCAGACAUGUCAUUUAUUGGAUUACGAAUUUGAGGAGCUUGAUCAUCAAAGGAUGCGGCAAGUUGGAGCAUCUGUUAUCACCCUCUCUUGCUAGAAGUCUGGUGCAGCUCCAAUGCUUUAAGAUAGAGGAUUGCAAGUGCUUAAGGGACAUAAUACUUAUAGAGGAAAUUGAAGAAGAAAGGAAAGAUGUGAUUUGUUUCCCUCGAUUAAACUCCCUGUGUAUAGAUGGUCUUCCAAACCUCAUCUUCUUCAGCUCAGGAAACCAUAAUAUCGAGUUCCCAUUGUUGGAAGAGCUAUGGAUUGAGCGUUGCCCCAAUUUUAUGGAAUUCAUUAGUCAGAGUAGCAAUGAGUCUGGCAUGCACGCUCUCUUCAGUGAGAAGGUGAUUUAUUUCAUUACUCUUAGGCUCUUAUAUAAUUCUGUUGAUUUGUCCUUGUUAUUUUGUCGGGCAUUAUAUGAGCUAACUUUUGUACCGGCACGAAUUAUAUGUAGGUUGCAUUUCCUAGGUUGGAAAAGAUAACAAUCAACAAGUUGAGAAAUGUGAAAAUGAUGUUUCAUAAUAACUUUGCACCAGGUUCUUUUCAAAAUCUACGAGAAAUAAGAGUUGAGGGAUGUGGGAGUCUGAAAAAUCUAUUUCUAGUGUCAAUAGCCAAAGAUCUUCCACAACUUGAAGAUUUAUGCAUCACUAAUUGUGGAGUGGAGGAGAUUGUAUCGAAAGGGGAAGGAGUGGAGGAGCAGCCUGUGAGGUUUUAAUUUCCGCUAGUGUCUUCCCUUGAGGAUACAUCCCUAAAAGAGCUCCAAUGUUUCUAUGAAGCGCAACAUACAAUAGUCUGGCCCAUGUUGAAAAAUUUGAAAACAGAUUGUUCUGCUUUGCUAAAGAUAGUGGCUUCGGAACAUCUUAGAUUAAUCCAAGGAAAUGAGCAGCCAGUUUUGUUGGUUGAAGAGGUAUGUAUAUCAUUACAACUAUAUUUCUUUUCAUGAUUUAAGCCACCGUCACAUCCAUCUCUUGUUGAUAUAUAUAUUAUUUGAAACGGUGGUUGCUUAUCCAUUUUAAUUCGGAUUUUUUAUGCACUUCUUUCAGCUUAUUUUUAUCAUUUUUUAUUUCUAAGGUAUUGUGUUUCUUAAAACAAAAUAUUCAUCUAUUUUGGAUUGGUUUGAUUUAAUAUUGAUUUUGUUGAGAUUUAAUCAUCGAUAUCAAACACCAAAAUUGUAGAUCUUAUGUUCUUUUUAAGCAUAUAGAUCAACAUUGUGCCUAACUUGUUUAUGUUUAAUUGGUUUCAAGGUCAUUCCCAAUUUAGAGGAACUUGAGUUAUUAAAUUUUGGUGAUAUGGACCAGUUUCCACCAGCCUUGGCAAACUCGACAGCAUGCAGGCCAUGAAGACCAAGUCAUGCAGGAGCUGCUGAUACAAGCUUAUUUUGUUUAUUUUGUAAUUCCCAGUCAAUGAAAUGUAAUCUUAGUUCAUUUCUAACUAAGUUAGAUUGUUGACUGAUGUAAUUAGCUUAUGUAUGAGCUGUAAACACAACUUUGUGUAAGUUUACAAGCCAAAAUUUCAAGUUUCCAUGUCAUUAGUGGAGGUAGGUGAUGUUUAGGUAAUUACUUACUGUUUUUGACAAGCUUAGUGCCUGUUUUAUGUAUUGGCAUUGUGCCAUUAUGCAUUUUAUGAAUGAAGUUCAGUUUGUUCAUCAAUUUCUCUAUUCAUUUUUCUUAGCUUUUCUUCCUUUCUCUUGCUCGAAUUCUCUUGUUUGCUCAGCAAGUCUCGAGACUUGCUUAACAAGUUUGCACUGAAUCUGUUAGUUUCAGUUACAGCACCAACAAUUGGUAUCUAAAGCCUAUUUUCUUAAGGGACCUGUUACACAAAUCCAUGGCUUCAUCAAGCUUUUCACCAGCUGCACCUCAAGUCUUCAAUGGAGAAGGCUAUCACAUAUGGGUGGUCAAAAUGAAGACCUACCUGCAGGCUUUCGAUCUGUGGGAGGUGGUCAACUCUGAUGUUGAACCAGAGCCACUUAGAGCUAAUCCAACAGUGGCUCAGAUCAGGCAGCAUGCUGAUGAAAGGACCAAGAGGCACAAGACUAUGUCUUGCAUCCAGAACUCAGUGUCUGAUGUGAUUUUCACAAGGAUUAUGGCCUGUGAAUCACCAAAACAGGCCUGGGACAAGUUGCAGGAAGAGUUUCAAGGGACAGAGAGGACAAGGCAGCAACAGUUGUUAAACUUGAGGAGAGAUUUCAAGAAUUUGAAGAUGAAGGAAGAAGAAACUGUCAAGCAAUAUUCUGACAGGAUUAUGGCUGUGGUUAACAGCAUCAGGCUCCUUGGAGAGCAGUUCAAUGAAGCUAGGAUAGUGGAGAAGGUUAUAGCAACUCUGCCUGAGAGGUAUGAGGCAAAAAUCUCAUCUCUCGAGGACUCAAGGGACCUGUCCACCAUCUCCCUGACAGAGUUUAUCAAUGCUCUAUAUGCUCAAGAGCAGAGGAGAGCAAGCAGACUGGAGGAGCACCAAGAAGGUGCCUUUCAGGCAAGAACAAAUACUACCUACAAAGGCAAGAAGGCCUGGAGAGACAAGCCAAAGAAUGAUGCUGCAAGGAAAGAAGGUCAGACUUGCAAGCACUGCAGAAAGGCUGGUCAUUCAGAAGAAAAAUGCUGGUUCAAUCCAGAUGCUGUGUGUCAGCAUUGUAAGAAGAAGGGUCAUGUUGAGAGAGUCUGUAAGAGCAAGGCCAAAUCAAGGCACAAUCAGUUUCAACAGAUGAAAGCUGAGGCUCGAGUAGCUAAGGAGGACAGUGACCAAGAGAAGCAAGUUUUUGCUGUGUCAUGCUCAGCUGCUCAGGAAAGGUCCUCAUCUGGUUGGCUCCUAGACAGUGGAUGCACCAACCACAUGACACCUGAUGCUGCAAUCUUCAAGUCUUUAGACAGAAGCUGCAGAACUAAGGUCAAGAUAGGAAAUGGUCAUUUUAUUCAAGCUGAAGGCAAGGGUGAUGUGCUAAUAUGCACCCUUACAGGUACCAAAGUGAUUUCAAAUGUGCUGUUGGUGCCUGAAAUUGACAGAAACCUGCUCAGCAUAGCUCAGUUGCUGGAAAAAGGUUAUUCAGUUGUGUUUAAAGACCACCAGUGCCAAAUCAGUGAUCCAAGUGGAUCCAAACUGAUGGCAGUCCCCAUGGCUGAUAAGAGCUUUGUGGUUGACUGGACAAAGAAGUCAGACAUUGCCUACACAGCCACUUCAGAUGAAUCCAAGCUGUGGCAUCAAAGACUGGGACAUACCAACUUCAUAUCGAUGGCCCGAAUGAUCAGAGAAGACCUGGCUGAAAACUUCAUCAACUCAGUGGACCAUGAUGAUGUAUGUGAAGUAUGUCAGCUAGGAAAGCAGGCCAGACUCCCAUUUCCCUCGAAUCAAGCCUGGAGAGCCUCUGAAAAACUCCAACUGGUGCAUACUGAUGUGUGUGGCCCUAUGAAGACUAAGUCAUUAAGUGGAAACAGGUAUUUCAUACUGUUCAUUGAUGAUUUCUCGAGAUAUUGCUGGAUUUACUUCUUAAAACAGAAAUCAGAGGUGGCCACUGUGUUUUGGAAGUUCAAAACUGCUGCUGAGACUGAAACAGGCUGCAAGGUAAAGUCCAUAAGGUCUGAUAAUGGGACUGAGUACACCUCAGCUCAGUUCCAAGCCUUCUGUGAUAAGGCAGGCAUCAAACAUCAACUUACCAACACAUAUACACCUCAGCAGAAUGGGGUAAGUGAAAGGAAGAAUAGGAGUUUGAUGGAUAUGGCCAGGUGCUUGAUGAUUCAGAAGAAUCUGCCUAAAGCACUAUGGGCAGAAGCAGUUAACACUGCAACAUACAUUCAAAAUAGACUUCCAACCAAGGCUUUGGAUCAAAAGACCCCAUUCGAGGCCUGGUUUAGCUUCAAGCCAUCACUGGCUCAUCUGAAGGUCUUUGGAUGCAUCUGUUAUGCACAUGUACCUGCUGUUAAAAGGGACAAAUUGUCUGAAAGGGCUCGACCUGGUGUUUUGGUGGGCUAUAGCACUGUUAAUAAGGGCUAUAGGAUUUUAGAUCCUUCAACAAACAAAGUGUCAGUAAGCAGGGAUGUGGUAUUUGAUGAGAGGUCAUGUUGGAACUGGGAAAGACAUGAACCUGAAGAAGUUUCUGAAGAACUUGCAACAGACCAAGCUGAGCCAGACCAAAAUGUCCCUGAAAUGGAUAUUGAUGAUGAACCAGUCAGAGGAACAAGGCCAUUGGCUGAAAUUUAUGAAAGGGCUCAUGUAGCCAUAGCUGAACCAAACAACUUUGAAGAGGCUGAGGCUCAGCAAGGGUGGAAGCAGGCAAUGGCUGAGGAGAUCAGCAUGAUUGAGAAGAACCAGACCUGGGAAUUGGUUGAAAGGCCAGUCAAAAGGAAGGUGAUUGGGGUGAAAUGGGUGUACAAAGCCAAGCAGAAUGCUGAUGGUACCUUGAACAAGCUGAAAGCAAGGCUAGUUGUCAAGGGGUUCAGUCAGAGGUAUGGCUUGGACUACCUGGAGACCUUUGCACCAGUGGCCAGGCUCGACACCAUCAGACUGCUGAUUGCCUUAGCAGCACAGCUCGAAUGGAAGAUCCAUCAACUUGAUGUGAAAUCAGCCUUUCUGAAUGGUUUCUUAGAUGAAGACAUCUAUGUUGAACAACCACAAGGGUUUGAAAUAGCUGGCAGAGAGCAUAUGGUCUACAAACUGAAGAAGGCCCUAUAUGGAUUAAAACAGGCUCCAAGGGCUUGGUAUAGCAGAAUCGAUGGCUACUUGACUGAUCUGGGAUUCGAUCGAAGCAAGAGUGAGCCAACAAUGUAUGUCAAGAAACAAGGGACACAAAUACAACUCAUUGUGUCCCUGUAUGUUGAUGAUCUUCUGGUGAUAGGAGGAGAUCGAGUAGUGCUGGCUGAUUUCAAGACCAAGAUGCAGGAAGUGUUUGAAAUGUUUGAUCUUGGGGAGAUGUCAUACUUUCUUGGAAUGGAAGUGUCUCAAGUACAGAAUGAGAUAUUUCUAAGCCAGAGAAGCUUUGCCACAAAGAUUCUGACCAAGUUCUCCAUGCAAAACAGCAAGGCAACUAAAACACCUGUUGCUGUUGGAGAAAAACUAUCGAGCCAAGGUGAUUUUAAGAAAGUUUAUGAAACAACCUACAGGAGUCUAGUUGGUUGCUUGCUAUACUUGACUGCCACUAGACCAGACAUCAUGUAUGCUGUAGGAUUACUCUCAAGGUUCUUGCAUUGCUGCAAUGAGAAGCAUUUCCAAGCUGCAAAAAGAGUGCUGAGAUAUGUCAAAGGCACUUUAAACUAUGGUUUGAAGUACAGCAAAGAAGGAAAUCUGAAGCUGGUUGGCUACACUAAUAGUGACUGGGCUGGCUCGAUAGAUGACAUUAAAAACACCUCAGGGUAUGCUUUUAACCUUGGUUCAGCCAUGUUUUGCUGGAGCUCAAAGAAGCAAAGUCUAGUAGCUCAAUCUACUGCUGAAGCAGAGUAUGUGGCAACAGCAAGUGCUGUCAACCAAGCCAUAUGGCUAAGGAAAAUAUUGGCUGACUUGAAUGUGCAUCAAGAGGAAGCUACUGAGAUCUUCUGUAACAACCAAUCUGCAGUAGCAAUUGCUAAAAAUCUAGUGUUCCAUGGAAGAACAAAACAUUUCAGCAUCAAGUUGCAUGUUGUUCGAGAAAUGGAGCAAGCUCAGGAAGUAAAGCUGAUCCACUGUAAUUCAGAGGAUCAACUUGCAGACAUUUUAACCAAAGCCCUUAGUGUCACAAGGUUCGAAUGUCUAAGAAAGAAGCUAGGUGUUUGCUCUAUGCAAACCAAGGAGGAGUGAUGAAGUUGGUUCAGCAUGCAGCAAACUCGACAGCAUGCAGGCCAUGAAGACCAAGUCAUGCAGGAGCUGCUGAUGCAAGCUUAUUUUGUUUAUUUUGUAAUUCCUAGUUAAUGAAAUGUAAUCUUAGUUCAUUUCUAACUAAUUUAGAUUGUUGACUGAUGUAAUUAGCUUAUGUAUGAGCUGUAAACACAACUUUGUGUAAGUUUACAAGCCAAAAUUUCAAGUUUCCAUGUCAUUAGUGGAGGUAGGUGAUGUUUAGGUAAUUACUUACUGUUUUUGACAAGCUUCGUGCCUGUUUUAUGUAUUGGCAUUGUGCCAUUAUGCAUUUUAUGAAUGAAGUUCAGUUUGUUCAUCAAUUUCUCUAUUCAUUUUUCUUAGCUUUUCUUCCUUUCUCUUGCUCGAAUUCUCUUGUUUGCUCAGCAAGUCUCGAGACUUGCUUAACAAGUUUGCACUGAAUCUGUUAGUUUCAGUUACAGCACCAACAGUUUUUGAAGUGCGUGGUGGUGGUGGCUCUCGAUCUUCUAUAUUUCCUUUCGUUCGAAGAUUUUACAAUUUGGAUAGUUUUAGGCUUCCUUCGAAGAUUUUACAGUUUGGAUAGUUUUAGGCUUCGUGAUUUUGAUUUCAAAUAUGUAGUCCCUUGUAAAGGACACGUUGGGACUCUCACACCAAUUAGAAAUCUGAUAUUGAAUCGUGCCAUAAAUCUUAAACAUAUAUGGAGGAAAGAUUCGGAGUUUGACUAUAUUCUUUCUAAUCUUCAAACACUCAAAGUUCAUAAUUGUGAUGAUUGGAUAAAUAUUACAGUCUCCUCAUCUUUACAAAAUCUCACGACUUUGAAUGUGUCAUUUUGUCAUUUUUUUUUAGGAUGAAUUCUAUGAGGGAGACUAUUUGAACAUCUCUGACACAUUUCCCAAGUCAAUAGAAAUAUGGAUUAGAAACCCUCAAGAAAUUUUGGAAUUCAAAAACCUUGUUUCGUUGCAUUUUUAUAAAUGUAGUAGCUUGAAGUACAUAUUUACUUCGUCUAUGCUUUUGAGCCUCAAUCAACUACAAGUGAUAAAAGUAAAAGAAUGCAGUUCAAUGGAACAAGUGGUUAGGGAGGAAGCAAUGACAGAUAAAUUCACAUUUCUUGCACUCUUCUCCAUAAGAAUUGAGUUGUGUUCCAACUUGACAAAUUUCUAUUUGGGAAGUCAAGCUCUUGAAUUUCCACAGCUGAGAAAUAUCACGAUAGCUGAGCGUCCAAAAAUGACUACAUUUUCUUUCUCAGUUUCAAGAGGAAGUGGUGAUGCAAGUGAAAACGUGGUUGGCGAGGGGGGCGCCUAUGAUAACCCUGCAAUAUUUUUCAGCAAUAAGGUAAGUUUAGUAUUCAAUAUUUAUCUGCACAACUUAUUUCACGUUUUCCUUUUAUUUGAUUAAUUUAUAUGAGUGUGUCUGGUCUAUAUAUAUAUUAGUAUUAAUGUCACGUGAUACGUGUUGUAAAAAAUUAAUAUAAUAAAAUCCAUAAAAAUAUUAAUAAAUAAGAUAAUGUUUUUUAAUUUGAAGUUUAAAGUAUAAAUAAAUAUAUAAAAUAAGAAUAAAGGAAAAACUUAAAAGUGAAAUACUAAUAAACAAUAAGAAUUUAAGAGAAGUUUUAAAGUUAAAUACUAAUGGACAAUAAAUAAUAAAAUAAUAAUAGAAAAUAAAAUAAAAAACUAAUCUUCAUAUAUUUUAAUUUGAAGAAUAUUUGAUGUACUAGCGGUACACAAGCUUCAUGUAUCAUCGGUGAAUAAGAACAUACAAUUAUCAUUAAAUACCACAAAAAUAUAGUAAAGGGUUUAUAAAUAAAUACUAAUAAAUUUAUCUAAACAUAAUUAAAUAAAAAUUAAUUGUAAUUAAAUAUCAAAACCCUAAAUCCUAAACUUGAAAUUCUAAGCCCUUAAACAUAAGAUCUUAAAUCCGAAAGUUAUUAAUAUUUAUUUAUAAUAGCUACGACUAAGGUUAAAUAAAUUUUUCAUCUCUUUUUGCUUUUGAACUUACAUUUUUAUCAAAUCACCUCAAAAUGAAAGAGAAAGUUUAUAUUUGUUAACUUCACUUAUGUGACAAUCCAUGUGUAUGCAAAGUUAGCAAUUAAUUAAUUUUUAAAAUAUUGUAUAUAUUUUUAAAUAUUUUUAUAAAAUUUUCAAAAUAAAAUAAAAAUUAAUUGUUGACAUGUCAUCUACAGCCAAUCCAGUGUAUAUAACAUCAGCAAAGUUAACAAAUGUCAAUUUUUUUUCUCUACUUUGAAUGAUUUGACAAAUAACACAAGUUCAAAGGAUAAAAGAAAUAAAAAUAAAAAUAGAGAGCUAAAAUGAAAAUUUUUUUUUUAUAAAGUUGGGGGUUAAAUAAAUUAUCUAUGCCUAAGUCUUUUUUAAGGUAACUCAUUAAAUAACUUAAGUAAUUAAUGUAAAUCAUUAAUGGAAACUACAUAAAUAUGUGAGUCCAACUUAGUUAGAAACAAGCAUAUUCCCCUAUUCAAUCGCAUCAAUAAUAAUCAUUCAACAAUCAUUAUAGUAUAUAUGAAAGCUCCAAGUUGUAUAGAAAAAGGCUUCUUUCUUUAAAAAAAAAUUUGCUUUAGGUUAGAUUUAUGCUGCUGAACAUUUCAACUAAACAAAAAAGGUCCACGUCUGCUAGCUAUAUUUAUCAGUUUAUAAAUCUUCAUACUCAUCUACUCUUUUUGAUUGUGUUUAUAAGUAAAGAAGGAAGAGUUAUGAUGUUAUCUUAUAAUGAAAUUUAUGUCAACAGGUUGUCAUUCCUCCUUUGCAGCAUCUGGAAUUGUCCGUCGUUAACAUUCAUGAGAUAUGGCACCACCCAUCCUCCCCAUCUGUCGGAUGUCUAAAUUCCUUGCAAGUGAAGAGGUGUCACAAUUUGAAAUACCUGUUCCCGUCUUUCUUGGUAAAAGAUCUUGUGCAACUCCGACGCCUUGAAAUUUUGGACUGUAAUAUGAUGGAACAAGUAAUAUUCACGGAUGGAUUGGUUGAAGAACAUCAAGGGAGGAAUCAGAUGUUUUUCUCUGAACUAGAAUUGCUGUGGCUAAAAGAACUUCCCAAACUCACAAGUUUAUGCUUUGGGAAUUGCUUUGAAUUCCAAUGUUUGACAGAUUUAGAACUAACAAAUUGUCCAUUGCUUAAAACAUUCAUCACUAAAUGUGUAUCUGAAGAUGAACCUAAAAUUGGCCAACAUGUACAAGCGAGUAACUUGGAGGUUCAUAACUCAUCUCUCCUCAAUGAAAAGGUCAUUUCUUUAUGGGUUCUCCUUUUAAUUUGUGUUGCUUCCAUUGCUCUUAUUCAUUUGAAGUUCUUUCUUUUCCAUGCAUAUUUCAGUUAUUAACCUAAUGAAAUGAUUUAGCAGGUUGUUUUCCCUAGUUUGGAGAAUGAUGAAGUUGGUUCAGCAUGCAGCAAACUCGACAGCAUGCAGGCCAUGAAGACCAAGUCAUGCAGGAGCUGCUGAUGCAAGCUUAUUUUGUUUAUUUUGUAAUUCCUAGUCAAUGAAAUGUAAUCUUAGUUCAUUUCUAACUAAGUUAGAUUGUUGACUGAUGUAAUUAGCUUAUGUAUGAGCUGUAAACACAACUUUGUGUAAGUUUACAAGCCAAAAUUUCAAGUUUCCAUGUCAUUAGUGGAGGUAGGUGAUGUUUAGGUAAUUACUUACUGUUUUUGACAAGCUUCGUGCCUGUUUUAUGUAUUGGCAUUGUGCCAUUAUGCAUUUUAUGAAUGAAGUUCAGUUUGUUCAUCAAUUUCUCUAUUCAUUUUUCUUAGCUUUUCUUCCUUUCUCUUGCUCGAAUUCUCUUGUUUGCUCAGCAAGUCUCGAGACUUGCUUAACAAGUUUGCACUGAAUCUGUUAGUUUCAGUUACAGCACCAACAAUUGGUAUCUAGAGCCUAUUUUCUUAAGGGACCUGUUACACAAAUCCAUGGCUUCAUCAAGCUUUUCACCAGCUGCACCUCAAGUCUUCAAUGGAGAAGGCUAUCACAUAUGGGUGGUCAAAAUGAAGACCUACCUGCAGGCUUUCGAUCUGUGGGAGGUGAUCAACUCUGAUGUUGAACCAGAGCCACUUAGAGCUAAUCCAACAGUGGCUCAGAUCAAGCAGCAUGCUGAUGAAAGGACCAAGAGGCACAAGACUAUGUCUUGCAUCCAAAACUUAGUGUCUAAUGUGAUUUUCACAAGGAUUAUGGCCUGUGAAUCACCAAAACAGGCCUGGGACAAGUUGCAGGAAGAGUUUCAAGGGACAGAGAGGACAAGGCAGCAACAGUUGUUAAACUUGAGGAGAGAUUUCGAGAAUUUGAAUAUGAAGGAAGAAGAAACUGUCAAGCAAUAUUCUGACAGGAUUAUAGCUGUGGUUAACAGCAUCAGGCUCCUUGGAGAGCAGUUCAAUGAAGCUAGGAUAGUGGAGAAGGUUAUAGCAACUCUGCCUGAGAGGUAUGAGGCAAAAAUCUCAUCUAUCGAGGACUCAAGGGACCUAUCCACCAUCUCCCUGACAGAGUUGAUCAAUGCUCUAUAUGCUCAAGAGGAGAGGAGAGUGAGAAGACUGGAGGAGCACCAAGAAGGUGCCUUUCAGGCAAGAACAAAUACUGCCUACAAAGGCAAGAAGGCCUGGAGAGACAAGCCAAAGAAUGAUGCUACAAAGAAAGAAGGUCAGACUUGCAAGCACUGCAGAAAGGCUGGUCAUUUAGAAGAAAAAUGCUGGUUCAAUCCAGAUGCUGUGUGUCAGCAUUGUAAGAAGUAGGGUCAUGUUGAGAGAGUCUGUAAGAGCAAGGCCAAAUCAAGGCACAAUCAGUUUCAACAGAUGAAAGCUGAGGCUCGAGUAGCUAAGGAGGAGUGUGACCAAGAGGAGCAAGUUUUUGCUGUGUCAUGCUCAGCUGCUCAGGAAAGGUCCUCAUCUGGUUGGCUCCUAGACAGUGGAUGCACCAACCACAUGACACCUGAUGCUGCAAUCUUCAAGUCUUUAGACAGAAGCUGCAGAACUAAGGUCAAGAUAGGAAAUGGUCAUUUUAUUCAAGCUGAAGGCAAGGGUGAUGUGCUAAUAUGCACCCUUACAGGUACCAAAGUGAUUUCAAAUGUGCUGUUGGUGCCUGAAAUUGACAGAAACCUGCUCAGCAUAGCUCAGUUGCUGGAAAAAGGUUAUUCAGUUGUGUUUAAAGACCACCAGUGCCAAAUCAGUGAUCCAAGUGGAUCCAAACUGAUGGCAGUCCCCAUGGCUGAUAAGAGCUUUGUGGUUGACUGGACAAAGAAGUCAGACAUUGCCUACACAGCCACUUCAGAUGAAUCCAAGCUGUGGCAUCAAAGACUGGGACAUGCCAACUUCAUAUCGAUGGCCCGAAUGAUCAGAGAAGACCUGGCUGAAAACUUCAUCAACUCAGUGGACCAUGAUGAUGUAUGUGAAGUAUGUCAGCUAGGAAAGCAGGCCAGACUCCCAUUUCCCUCGAAUCAAGCCUGGAGAGCCUCUGAAAAACUCCAACUGGUGCAUACUGAUGUGUGUGGCCCUAUGAAGACUAAGUCAUUAAGUGGAAACAGGUAUUUCAUACUGUUCAUUGAUGAUUUCUCGAGAUAUUGCUGGAUUUACUUCUUAAAACAGAAAUCAGAGGUGGCCACUGUGUUUUGGAAGUUCAAAACUGCUGCUGAGACUGAAACAGGCUGCAAGGUAAAGUCCAUAAGGUCUGAUAAUGGGACUGAGUACACCUCAGCUCAGUUCCAAGCCUUCUGUGAUAAGGCAGGCAUCAAACAUCAACUUACCAACACAUAUACACCUCAGCAGAAUGGGGUAAGUGAAAGGAAGAAUAGGAGUUUGAUGGAUAUGGCCAGGUGCUUGAUGAUUCAGAAGAAUCUGCCUAAAGCACUAUGGGCAGAAGCAGUUAACACUGCAACAUACAUUCAAAAUAGACUUCCAACCAAGGCUUUGGAUCAAAAGACCCCAUUCGAGGCCUGGUUUAGCUUCAAGCCAUCACUGGCUCAUCUGAAGGUCUUUGGAUGCAUCUGUUAUGCACAUGUACCUGCUGUUAAAAGGGACAAAUUGUCUGAAAGGGCUCGACCUGGUGUUUUGGUGGGCUAUAGCACUGUUAAUAAGGGCUAUAGGAUUUUAGAUCCUUCAACAAACAAAGUGUCAGUAAGCAGGGAUGUGGUAUUUGAUGAGAGGUCAUGUUGGAACUGGGAAAGACAUGAACCUGAAGAAGUUUCUGAAGAACUUGCAACAGACCAAGCUGAGCCAGACCAAAAUGUCCCUGAAAUGGAUAUUGAUGAUGAACCAGUCAGAGGAACAAGGCCAUUGGCUGAAAUUUAUGAAAGGGCUCAUGUAGCCAUAGCUGAACCAAACAACUUUGAAGAGGCUGAGGCUCAGCAAGGGUGGAAGCAGGCAAUGGCUGAGGAGAUCAGCAUGAUUGAGAAGAACCAGACCUGGGAAUUGGUUGAAAGGCCAGUCAAAAGGAAGGUGAUUGGGGUGAAAUGGGUGUACAAAGCCAAGCAGAAUGCUGAUGGUACCUUGAACAAGCUGAAAGCAAGGCUAGUUGUCAAGGGGUUCAGUCAGAGGUAUGGCUUGGACUACCUGGAGACCUUUGCACCAGUGGCCAGGCUCGACACCAUCAGACUGCUGAUUGCCUUAGCAGCACAGCUCGAAUGGAAGAUCCAUCAACUUGAUGUGAAAUCAGCCUUUCUGAAUGGUUUCUUAGAUGAAGACAUCUAUGUUGAACAACCACAAGGGUUUGAAAUAGCUGGCAGAGAGCAUAUGGUCUACAAACUGAAGAAGGCCCUAUAUGGAUUAAAACAGGCUCCAAGGGCUUGGUAUAGCAGAAUCGAUGGCUACUUGACUGAUCUGGGAUUCGAUCGAAGCAAGAGUGAGCCAACAAUGUAUGUCAAGAAACAAGGGACACAAAUACAACUCAUUGUGUCCCUGUAUGUUGAUGAUCUUCUGGUGACAGGAGGAGAUCGAGUAGUGCUGGCUGAUUUCAAGACCAAGAUGCAGGAAGUGUUUGAAAUGUCUGAUCUUGGGGAGAUGUCAUACUUUCUUGGAAUGGAAGUGUCUCAAGUACAGAAUGAGAUAUUUCUAAGCCAGAGAAGCUUUGCCACAAAGAUUCUGACCAAGUUCUCCAUGCAAAACAGCAAGGCAACUAAAACACCUGUUGCUGUUGGAGAAAAACUAUCGAGCCAAGGUGAUUUUAAGAAAGUUUGUGAAACAACCUACAGGAGUCUAGUUGGUUGCUUGCUAUACUUGACUGCCACUAGACCAGACAUCAUGUAUGCUGUAGGAUUACUCUCAAGGUUCUUGCAUUGCUGCAAUGAGAAGCAUUUCCAAGCUGCAAAAAGAGUGCUGAGAUAUGUCAAAGGCACUUUAAACUAUGGUUUGAAGUACAGCAAAGAAGGAAAUCUGAAGCUGGUUGGCUACACUGAUAGUGACUGGGCUGGCUCGAUAGAUGACGUGAAAAGCACCUCAGGGUAUGCUUUUAACCUUGGUUCAGCCAUGUUUUGCUGGAGCCCAAAGAAGCAAAGUCUAGUAGCUCAAUCUACUGCUGAAGCAGAGUAUGUGGCAACAGCAAGUGCUGUCAACCAAGCCAUAUGGCUAAGGAAAAUAUUGGCUGACUUGAAUGUGCAUCAAGAGGAAGCUACUGAGAUCUUCUGUGACAACAAAUCUGCAGUAGCAAUUGCUAAAAAUCCAGUGUUCCAUGGAAGAACAAAACAUUUCAGCAUCAAGUUGCAUGUUGUUCGAGAAAUGGAGCAAGCUCAGGAAGUAAAGCUGAUCCACUGUAAUUCAGAGGAUCAACUUGCAGACAUUUUAACCAAAGCCCUUAGUGUCACAAGGUUCGAAUGCCUAAGAAAGAAGCUAGGUGUUUGCUCUAUGCAAACCAAGGAGGAGUGAUGAAGUUGGUUCAGCAUGCAGCAAACUCGACAGCAUGCAGGCCAUGAAGACCAAGUCAUGCAGGAGCUGCUGAUGCAAGCUUAUUUUGUUUAUUUUGUAAUUCCUAGUCAAUGAAAUGUAAUCUUAGUUCAUUUCUAACUAAGUUAGAUUGUUGACUGAUGUAAUUAGCUUAUGUAUGAGCUGUAAACACAACUUUGUGUAAGUUUACAAGCCAAAAUUUCAAGUUUCCAUGUCAUUAGUGGAGGUAGGUGAUGUUUAGGUAAUUACUUACUGUUUUUGACAAGCUUAGUGCCUGUUUUAUGUAUUGGCAUUGUGCCAUUAUGCAUUUUAUGAAUGAAGUUCAGUUUGUUCAUCAAUUUCUCUAUUCAUUUUUCUUAGCUUUUCUUCCUUUCUCUUGCUCGAAUUCUCUUGUUUGCUCAGCAAGUCUCGAGACUUGCUUAACAAGUUUGCACUAAAUCUGUUAGUUUCAGUUACAGCACCAACAGAGAAGUUGCGGAUUCAGAAUUGUGAUUCGUUAGAACAAAUUAUUGAGCUGCAAGGAGUCAUUGCUGAUGAGUCACAGUCAACAUCAGCUGCUCAAUCUAUUAUGGCUGAAACAGAGACGACCAAGUUUGUAUUUCCCAAACUAAUAAACCUCGGAUUGGAUAAGGUGCCGAGAUUGAAAAGUUUCUACUCUAGGAUGCAUACCACCCAGUGGCCUUUAUUGAAACAAAUGGACAUUAUUGAAUGCCCCAAAGUACAGAUAUUUACUCCACAAUGUCCUGAGAGUCAGGUUGGAAUCUCAAACCAACAACCCUUGUUUUGCGUUAGCGAGGUGAGCUCACUAACAGUUUCAUACUCCAUGUUCAUUACUUGAGAUUACCUAUAAAAUGCCUUUUGAAAUAACUAAUAUUCUCACCUUCCUUUUAAAUUUAUGAGAAAGAAAAUGGAAAUUAUAUUCAUUCUGUAGUCUAGUUCUUACUAAUUGAAAACUCUUUGAUCAAUGUUUAAUAUAUUCGUUGCCAUCCAGGACACUUUCCCUGUAUUAGAAGAACUAACACUGAAGACGAAUGAUAUGGUGGAGGGGAUAUGUGAUGGACAACUCUCAUUGCAGUGUUUCCAAAACCUUAAGCAUCUUAACCUCCAGUUCUUUACUGAGACAUCCACUACUCUUCCGUAUUCCUUCAUUCGGUCUCUACCAAUGCUUCAUAAGCUUGUUAUAGACAAUGCUUCCAUUUGUCAAAUAGUACAAUCUGAAGGACUCAGCGACCAGGAAAGGCAUACAUCAGCAUUCUAUCAGCUAAAGGAAUUAAGUUUGUCUCAUCUUCCAGAGUUGACGUUAAAGACUUUUGAACCAUCUUUGCUGUCUUUCAAUAAUCUAACAACACUGGAAGUUUCAAGAUGCCAUGGGUUCAUCAAUUUAAUCGUAUGCUCAACAGCUAAGUGCCUGACGCUACUGGAAAGAUUGAGCAUAGAUGAUUGUGAGAUGAUAGAGGAAAUUAUAGCGUGUGAGGCUGAAGAAAUACAAGGCGGCAUUGUAUUUCCCAAACUGAAGUAUUUGCAACUAAGCUGUCUGCCACGUCUAGCAAGCUUUUCCUUGGCCCAUCACUCGUUGGAAUUCCCAGUCUUGCUAAUGGUGAAGGUGACAAAGUGUCCCAAAAUGAGGAAUUUCUUCCAAGGAGAUUUAAGCACACCAAGGCUGGAACAAAUGCACUUAACAAGAGAUGAGGAACGUGAACUACAGUGGGAAGGCGACCUUAACACUACCAUAAAACAUAUGUUCGAUGAAAUGGUACAAAUCAUUUAAAGGAUUUAAAUUCAUGUGUUUUUACAUACAUACAUAGUUAACUAAAUAAUUCUUGGUUUGUUAUGAUCAUGCACAGAAUGUGCAAAAUUCUGAGGUGACUGAGGUUACUGAUCGGUUGCCCAAGCUGGAAUAAGGAAAUAUGUUUGGGUGCUUAUGCGAAAAGCUCAAUUUCGUUUCAAACCAAAACGAAUGGUAAUUGACCCUUCUAUUUUCAUCAUGGCUUAACUAAAGAUUUAUAAAGUGACCAUAGAGACGCCCUUUUCAUUGUAGGUUGAGUUGCUCUACUGAAGCACAUGGCUGCAUCUGUUGGUAGAACGUGAAAGGUUAUUUCAGUUUUUGUAAAACUACUAUUUGAACUGUUCCAUUUCGCAUUAUAACCUCACAAUUGUAUUUCAAGUGCAUCAUGCAUGGCAUUGGGAACUACAAACAUGUAAACUUUUACUAGUAAGCAAAAUAAAUAAAAAAAUCAUAAAUUAGAGUAUGAAAGUAAACAUAUUAAAGCAUACUUUUUGGUUUCAGAAUUUAAAUGAUUUGAGUUAAUUUGAAGCCAUAAAAAAAGAUAAAUUCAAUUAUAAAUUCUGAUAUUUGAAAAUUUUACAAUAAUAAUAAAUAAAUGCUUAAUGAAAUAAUUAAGAUUAUAAGGCAACAAGCUUAAUUAAGAGGGGUAUUUGUAAAUAUUAGUAAAAUUUACGGUAAAUAUUAUAUGAAAUAAGCAAAUUUAUGUUAUUAAUUAACCAAAUAGUUGUUUUUGGGUAAAAAAAAUGUAGUAAUAUGUUACAAUUUUUAGGGUGUUAAAUUAAUAUGAUUUGUCUUGAUUAAAUGUAUUAAAUUUAAUGUAACUAUUUUGAAUUUUAUUUCGGGAAUUGAAUUGAUCCGCAAAUCAAUAUAUUAAAAAAAUAAUAUUUUAAAUUUGGGAAGGUUUACUAGUAAUAAUGCUAUCUAUCUAUUGAUAAAAAUAUAUUAUAAUCAAAAUAAUAUUUUCAUGGUAAGCUUAGCUAUCCUUUACCGUCAACAUCCUUUAUGGGUUGCUUAGAGUAUUAUAUAUAGAUGAAGCUUUAGUUCAACACUGAUCUUAAUUUAAUAUUUUGAUUUUACAUAUUGACAGAUUAAAAUUCUUUUUGAAGUUUUAUAAGUCAGAAAUUUUUUUAUUUUGAAUAGUCAACUUACAUUUUAAUUCAUUUAGGGUGAGUUUGGAUGGGCGGUGUAUUUACCUGCGGUUAGUGUAAAAACAACGGUGGCGGUGAGAUUAGAUACUGUAGUGAUACUGUAGCGUGAGACAAAAAGUAUGCUAAACACACCACACCGCACCCAAUCGCCCAUCCAAACCUACUCUUAGUAUGUUUAAUCACUUUAGGUACAAAUAUAUUUCGUGUACCAAUCUAAUCAUGCACUAUAAUAGCUAAUUUUAAUUAUAACUUGAUGGUUGGUGGUUGUUGUUGGAUUUGGUGAACUCUCAAGUGCUCGAGUCUGUUGAUCUAAAGGUUGUGGCCUUUCAUCUUUAAUUUCAGGGUCAGCAAAGGUUUGAGAAGGUUGCUAGUCAUCCUAAUUCCAAGUGUUCUCCCCAUCAAAAAUUACGUCUUGGGUAAUCACAAUUUCUUCGUUAAAGGAUUAAACAGUUUAUAUGCUUUAGAUGUUUCACUUGCACCUAGAAAGACACACUUUUCUCCCUUGUUAUCAAGCUUCUUUCUCUUUGCAUCUGGAAUACGUGCAUAAGCAAUGUAACCAAAAAUUUUGAAGUGAUCUACCGUUGGUGGUCUCCUUCGACACCAAGCUUCUUCAGGUGUCAUGUUUUGAACAACAAAAGUUGGGCUUCUGUUCAAAACAUGGAUGCUCCAAUUUACUACUUCUAGCCAAAAUCGUUUUGGGACCCUUCCACCAGAAAGCAUGCUCCUCACCAUAUUAAGUAUGGUUAUGUUUUUCCUCUUUGAUACGCCAUUUUGUUGGGGGGUAUAUGCAGUAGUAAGCUCUUUUCGAAUGCCAUGACUCUCACGAAAUGCUUCAAAUUCCUUGGAGCAAUAUUCUCCUCCACAUUAAGUGCAAAGAGCUUGAAUGGUUUUCCCGAUUUCAUUCUCAACAAAUGCCUUGAAGCUAGUAAAUGCACUAAAUGCUUCUAAUUUCUCCUGUAAGAACUAAACUCAUGUUUUCCGAGAAUAAUCAUGAAUGAAAGUAAGGAAAUAUUUUUUUUACCUCCAUUAGAUGAUGGUUUUAUUGGCCCUUAGAUAUUUGAAUGAACCAAUUCCAGCCACGUUUUGCUCUCAAAGACUUUCCUUUGGGAAAUUGUUCACGAUUUUGUUUGCUAACAACACAAUCUUCACACACAUGGGAAAGAAUGACAAUCUGAGGAAGGUCGCUGACCAUUUCUUUCUGUCUAAGAGUCUUCAAACCCCCAAAAUUAAGAUGACCAUAGUGGAAAUGACAAAACCACGAGUCAACCUUCACUUUAGCCAUCAAGCAAGGUUUUAAAAUAUCUUUGCUUCUUCCCAAAGGUCUCAAAGCAUGUUAUGGAGUUUGAGUCUGAUUCAAUGGUUGCGUUAUGUGGCUUGGCUGUAGUUUAUUGCACCUUUGUACUUCUUUCUUUUAUGAAUAAAAUCAAUGCUUAUUAGAAAAAAAGAAAACAAAAACAAAUAGUAGAUAGCAACAAACAAAGAAAAAAAAACCUUAUGCCCCACUAACAUUUUUUUUGUACGUUUAGUCAAAAUGAAUAUAAUUAAAAAUAUUAAAUAGAUGCCAAUUGAGUUUUAGUGUAGUUGGUAUUGGUAUUAUUAACUUUGCUUAGUCCAUAUCCCCAUAAUAUGCGAUGGUCAUAUGUGACUUUUAAUCCAUUUAAUCUAAUUUGUUGGCUUUAGUACUGAUUGUACUGACUUUUAUUCUUGUUGUGGUCUAAUGAUUUGAUUCUAUUUUGUAAUUCCUUAUAUCAUUCGUGUUGUAAUAGUUUGAUACUUGUAACAAACAAAUACAAUUUAAAAAAUGGCUAGUAUUUGGUACACUGUUAGAAUAUUAUUAUGAGAUAUUAUCUUUUUGGAAUAUCUAAAUAUAUUGUAUAUUAUUAUAUAUCUUUUAAGCAUAUAUUUAGGAAUAUAUUAUCUAUCUUUCCUAUUUCUACAUGACUAUUGUUAUAUAAAUAUUAUGUAUAUUCUUGAAGCUUAUCAAUAAGAUUGAAAUGAAUUACCCUAUUCUUGUCAUGGUAUCUAAGCUUGGUGUUUAACACAAAAAAAGAGAAAAAUUUAAUCGUUUUCAAUGGCUGGUAGUGAUUCUACUUCUCCACCACCAGGGGCAAGAUAAUCAUCAGGGGAAGGGCGACACUUCUUGGUUUUACUGCUGAGCAAUGACAAUCUCUUCUGGUGGUGUUUGGUAAUACACAAUCCACUACCAAUCAGUUGAAUGGACAUUCAUUUUGAGGGGGUUGAUUAGAGCGGGUGAGAGACGAGAUGGACUUUAUUACUCUGUUGGUUAAUAAGAAUGAAGUUUUCAAGCAGGGGAGAAGGUAGAAAAUUUUUCUAAGAGGGUCGAAAUUAAAUUGUAAUUUUUAAUAGUCUAUAUUUUUAUAAUUUUUAAAGGAUUAAAUCAAAUAUUAUCAUUUUAAGGGGACUAAAGUGUAAUUUUACCUUUACUAAUUUAAAAUGUUAAAAUUUCUAAAGAGCCUAAAUGGAUGAUUUUCCAUUUUAGGGGGAUUGGGGCCUUUGCCAACCCUUUAGAUCCGCCACAGUUUUCAAGAUUUUCAUGUCAUUUAUUACUAUGAUUCAUCGUCAUUUUUCUUAAUUAAUAGAUAAAGUUUGUUAGAAGUGAUAAUGAGACUGAAUUUAAUUGCCUUCGAGAUUAUUUUCUUACAAAUGACAUUAUUUUUUCAAACAUCUUAUGUUGGUACUCCUCAAAAAAAUGGGAGAGCGAAGAGGAAACAUCAACAAAUUUUAAACGUGGCUCGUGUUUUGCGUUUUCAAGGUAAUCUGUCUACAUUGUUUUUGGGGAGUGUGUUUUGCUGCAUAUAUUUAGGAAUAUAUUAUAUAUCUUUCCUAUUCCUACAUGACUACUGUUGUAUAAAUAUUAUGUAUAUUCUUGAAGCUUAUCAAUGAGAAUGAAAGGAAUUACCCUAUUCUUGUCAUGGUAUCUAAGCUUGGUGUUUAACACAAAACAAGAGAAAAAUUUAAUCGUUUUCAAUGGCUGGUAGUGAUUCUACUUCUCCACCACCAGGGGCAAGAUAAUCAUCAGGGGGAGGGCGACACUUCUUGGUUUUACCGCUGAGCAAUGACAAUUUCUUUUGGUGGCGUUUGGUAAUACAUAAUCCACUACCAAUCGGUUGAAUGGACAUUCAUUUCGAGGGAGUUGAUUAGAGCGGAUGAGAGACGAGAUGAACUUUAUUACUUCCGGCAAGUAUCAAUGGUCAAAGUGGUUUCGAUUAAAGCUUUAUCCUCUUUGGAACUUUGGCAUAGAAGAUUGGGUCACCCUUCCGAGAAAGUAGUAAAGUUAUUUCCUUACGUUAGUAACUCUAGAGAUUAUUUGAAUAAAGCAUGCAAAAUUUGACAUCGUGUUAAACAAACAAAAAAUAGUUUUCCAGUUAAUGAACAGAAAGCCACAUGUAUUCUUGAGUUAGUUUAUUGUGAUUUAUGGGGUUUUUAUGAUACUCUUUCAUAUUGUGGAUCUCAUUAUUCUUUUACAUUGGUUGAUGAUUUCUCUUGUGCUAUUUGGGUAUAUCUAUUGGUUAAUAAGAAUGAGGUUUUCAAGCAGGGGCGAAGGUAGAAAAUUUUUCUAGGAGGGUCGAAAUUAAAUUGUAAUUUUUAAUAGUGUAUAUCUUUACAAUUUUUAAAGGAUUAAAUCAAAUAUUAUCAUUUUUAAGGGGACUAAAUUGUAAUUUUACCUUUAUUAAUUUAAAUUUUUAAAAUUUCUAAAGAGCCUAAAUGGAUGAUUUUUCAUUUUAAGGGGCUGGGCCUUUGCUAGCCCCUUAGAUCUGCCACAAUUUUCAAGAUUUUCAUGUCAUUUAUUACUAUAAUUCAUCGUCAAUUUUAUGAAUAGAUAAAGUUUGUUAGAAGUGAUAAUGAGACUGAAUUUAAUUGCCUCCAAGAUUAUUUUCUUACAUAUGACAUUAUUUUUUCAAACAUCUUAUGUUGGUACACCUCAACAAAAUGGGAGAGUAGAGAGGAAACAUCAACAAAUUUUAAACGUGGCUAGUGUUGUGCAUUUUCAAGGAAAUCCGUCUAUAUUGCUUUUGGAGAGUGUGUUUUGCUACUUUUUAUCUUAUUGAUUGAACUCUUUCACCUCUUCUUCAUCAUAAAACACCCUAUGAAAUGUUGUUUGGUAGACUUCCUUUAAUUGAUGAUUUUUGUGUGUUUGGUUGCUUAUGUUUUGUUCAUAAUUAACAUUCUAAAGGUGAUAAGUUCAAUAGUCAGAGUAAAAAAGUAUGUUUUUGUUAGCUAUCAUUUUGUCAAAAAUAAAUAAAAUAUAUUUUAAGCUAUCAUUUUGUCAAAAAUAAAUAAAAUAUAUUUUAAUAUAAGACAUUUUGGGACUGUUGGCAUGUCAUUUCUGAGUUGUUUCCACGAAAUGCAAUCGAUACAUAAAUUAAUCAUUUUGUCAAAGAUGAUAUCUAAACCUUGAAAACAUUUCCUUAUUUCUUGUCUGUUUCUACUUUGGUGGUGAUGUGCUUUGUUUGAUUCUAACUACUCCAUUAAAUAAAUCAUCCAAAAACAUAUAUUAUAUGAGGAAUAGGUGGUUGAAGAAAGAGAAAGCAAAAAUAAUAAUAAAAGAAGGAAAUUAAUUAGGAAAAUGACGUUAUAUGAAAACACUCAUACAAUUGGAUAACUCACUCACUCGACCUUUAAGAGGAGAAAAAGAAAAACCUUGUUUAUGUAAUACAUGGAUACCUAAUAAUUCAUUUAUUUAAUAACUUAUUUAUACUUUGGUAUAAGACAUUUUGGGUUGUCAUUUCUGUGCUGUUUCCAUGAAAUACAAUCCAAACUUCCUUUCCUACUUUUAAAGUAAGUAAGAAGUCGUCUUUCUCAGUUUACUACUUUCUGGCUUUGCUCUGCUAAGAAGAAAAAAACAGAAGGGGGAAAACUAUCGGUUAUUGAUCAUAGCCAAAAGGUACGCCAUCUGCUUUUCCUUUCCCUGCUUUGCUCUUACUCUUUUGAAAUAAGCUUAGGCAGGCAGGUUUAACCAUGAGAAUAGACUUCUUUUAUGCUUUAAAUCUCUAAAAAGCUCUUUAAAAUUCGUAGAAAAAAAGGGGUGAGUAUUAGGAAAGCUGCAUAAGCAUUUGUGUUUGGGAUGUACCAACAACUUGUUGCUUCAUGGUUAUUCAGAGGUUGGGUGAUUUAUCUUGUAGUCGACCACCUUUUUUUUAUUCGAUGCUUUAUUUCCAUUCAAAACUAUAUGUGGUUGGAAAGCUGGUUUGAUAGUCCACUAAAAUUAUAUGAAAAAUCAUUUAAAAAACAGAUUAAAUAUAUAAUUUUUAUAUAUUUAAAAGUGUUUGUUUAUAUAUUAUUUAGAAAUUGCUUUUAUAACAUAAUUAUUAUUUUACUAUUUUAAAUUUUGAAAUUUCAAUAUUUAAAAAUUUAACUAAUUUAAAAAAUGUGCAGCGAACUAAAAAAAACAUUAAUAAACAAAAAAAUUAGCAUAUAUAAAAAUUUAAAAUAGGAUUUGAAAUAUAUUGUUAAUAUUUUCAAUCUAAAUUUUAAAAUAUUUAAAUUAUGAAAAUAUGUUGAUUUAAAAUUAUUAUAGAACUUAUAUUCCAAAAAAAACCAUUAUAAAAAGUAUUUAUUCAAGAAAAAACUUUUUGUUUUGGCCUAUUUAUAUAGUAUUAUAAAAUGUCGAUUUUAAAAAAUUAUUAAAAAGUAAUACUAAAUAACUAAUUUAUAUAUAAAGAAAUUAUAGUUUCUUAAAAUCUGAAUUAAAAUGCUUUAAACUAAAACUAAAACUAAAACCAAAAUUUUCUUGUAUUGUAAAAUUAUUGUUAGAAAUUUUUAGUAUAACAAAAAGAUAUUAUUGAUAUUAGUCACUUAAAAACUAAAACAGUUUUAUAGACUUUAGUAAUUAUUUAUAUGAUUAAUAUUUUAACGAUUUAACCGUUUAAUUUAUCAAUAUAAUUGUACUUGUAAUGCAUGUAAAUUUUCGAACCGAUUCGAUAUCUCUAUCGUAUCGAUCUAAAAUACUCUAUAUACUAAUAUAUAAUCAACGAUUGAAAUUUUUUUACAAAACGAAUAUAGUUAGAAGUUUUAAAUUUACAUUAAAUUUGACAUGUAUAAUCUGCAUGAAUAGACUAUAAAAUAUAACAGUUGGAUCGUUAAAAUAUUAAUUAUAUAAAUAGUUAGGUAAGUGUGUAAAAUUCCUUUAGCUUUUACAUAUAUAUAAGUGGAUCCUUCUCCUUAAUGUUAAUAAAUGUUAAUUUUGUUAUCACAUAAUAUUUUAAUUAUGAAUUAAUAUUAAAAAUAAAUAAUAAAAAAAAUAUAAAUAUAAAUAGGGCGAGUAUUUGGUACACUGACAAUGUACUUUUUUUAUUCCACGAGUAAUCUUAAAAAAUUGACAUAUUUCUCUCUUUUUUAAAUAUGUUACGACACUCUUAUAAGAUAUUUGUCAACCUCCUGACCCUACUUGUAGAGUCUAAAACCUCCACUUACUAAAUAAUUUCCACAAUUUAUUAUUAAUGUUUAUUAGACAAAACACGUUAGCGAACAAAAUAAAUAAAUUAUAAAUAAAUACAUAUGAAAUAAAAUAUAAAUAGAAUGAUUUAUAAUUAAUUUAUUAAAUAUGAAUCAAAUAAAAACAUAAGAAAAAGUUGAAAUAAAGAAGAAUUGAGAUUUUACGAAACGUUGAGGCCUUUGAAACACAGUUUCCUUAAAACAUAUUCGGCCGCUCCUACAGUACUUGGAGAAAUGUUAGUCGAAAUUCUCCCAGGAUACAACAACAAAAGUAAUCAAAGUAGUAGUACAUCUACAACAAUCAACGAACAAAUUUUGUUUUUUUUAUCACCGAUAUGUAUGAAAAAUGGAGAGAAAAAGGAAGAGUUUUGAAAUGAACAGAAUUUCAUUUGAAUAUGUGUUUAAUCCUUUAGAAUACACAGCCUUUUCUAGGCAUUUAGGAUAAGGAGCCAAAAAUCAAUUUGAUUUAAAAAUUAAAUCAAAUUAGAUACUGUCCAUAUAUAAGCAGAUUAUGUCUGCUGAGGAAAAAUAAAUUCGUGUUGAGCUUAAAAUAUUCACAUGGGCCAAACCAGUUUGAACAUUUUGUGUCACCCACGUCAUACAAGUGCGCCCAACCCAAUCAGAUUUAGACCUACACCACCCCUACGCAUGAGACAAGGUUGCAAGCAUAGUUAUUCAAUUAAUUUUAGAGAGAGUUUACAUAUAAAAGCACAUCUCACACUUGAUAUUUAACCAAUGUAGGAUCUAAGCCUUUACUUUUUCUCAACAAUAUUUUCAAGUAGCUUACUUUAAGCAUCAAUUUCUCAUUCACCACUAAACCAUUUUGAGCAUAUGAUAUACCAUUGUAAAAGUCUCAUGGGGUAGAAUAUGAAACCAUAAAAUUAUGAUUCAACUCUCCACUUUUACCUAUUAAGAAUAUGCCUCAAAGUUCCCAUAAAAGUAAUUUUUCAGACAAUGUUUUUAGACUCCAUCAGUAAAGUCAAGGGAUUAACAAGUGUCCUAUAGAAAUAUAGUAAAAUAUCAAAAAAUUAAAUAUUUUAAAAAAGAGACACAUAUAAGUUUUUUAAAACGACUUGUGGAGUAAAUAAAAUAUUGUUAGUAUACCAAAUAAUCACCCAUAAAUUAUUGCUUUAAUCAAAAUAUAAGAACUAGGUAUAAUUUUGAAUUAGUUUAAAUUAAUUUAAAAGAAAUUUAAUUUAAUGAUAAAAAAAUUAUAUUUCAAAAUAAUUAGAAAGAUUUUAUUUUUUGAAUAAUAAUUAAAAACAAAUUUUUAAAAGAUGUGUUGUAAAAAUAUUCAAAGUGUAAAAAGACAAUUUAUUCCUUCAAUGCUUAGCAAAAAAUAUUCCUUAAAAAAAGAUAAUUAUUAGAAAAUAUCAUUAGAUAUAUGUCUAUAUUAAUAAAAAGUUAUCUAUUAACAAAAUCACUUUAAUUGUCAUAAAACUAAAACAUUAAUCACAUAUUUAUAAUUUUAAAAUUUUAACUCUUCAAUGGUAGUUAAGAUUAUGCAAAUGAGUUCUUUUUAAAAAAUAUAUAAGAUAAUUCAAGUUUUGGUCUUUGUUAUCGCUGUGGUUAUUCAGUUUGCUCUCUCAAUGGAGUGUGUUAUUGCCAUCGUUGGUUCUAUUGUCGCUAAAGCUGUAGAGUAUACGAUCUCUCCUAUCAAAAACCAUGUCAAAUACCUUUCCAAUCAUCAGAAAUAUGUUGAGACCCUCAAGAACCGAGCUAAUAGGCUAAAAGAUGCAAGGGACGGAGUGCAGCAUUCUGUUGAUGCAGCUAAGCGAAACGGUGAAGAGAUCGAAGGUGAUGUUGACAAAUGGCUGUCUGCAGUCGACAAAAAGAUCCUUGAACAAGUAGAGAAAGUGAUGCAAGAUGAAGAAAAAGCAAAUAAAAAGUGUUUCAUUGGUUUGUGUCCUAAUUUCAGGACUCGUUACAAGCUUAGCCUGAAAGCUGAAAAGGAGGCAAAGGCUGUUGCCGAGCUACUUGAACAUGGAAACUUUGAAAGGGUUUCCUAUCGUGCAGCUCCGAAAGGUAUCGUGGUUGCACCAGUUAAAGGUUAUGAGGAAUUCGAGUCAAGAACGUCGAUUCUGAACGGAAUAAUGGAGGCACUAAAAGAUGAUAGCGUCAGCGUUGUUGGGGUGCAUGGUAUGGGUGGGAUUGGAAAAACAACGCUGGUCAAAGAAAUCGCUAGAAAGGUCAAGGGCAAGUUGUUUGAUUCGGUUGUCAUAGCAACCGUAACUCAAGCCAUCGAUAUUGAGAAGAUUCAGAACCAAAUUGCAGACUUCUUGGGCUUGAAAUUUGAGGAACAGAGUAUGGUUGGAAAGGCAUUUCGACUACGAGAAAGAUUGAAGAAAGAGGAGAGGAUUCUGGUUGUCUUGGAUGACAUUUGGGAAAAGGUUGAUAUUGAGGAAGUAGGGAUUCCUUUGGGAGAUGAACACAAGGGCUGCAAAUUACUAUUAACUUCUAGAGAGCUCAAUGUUUUAUCAAAUGGGAUGGAUGCUCAGAAAAAUUUUCCCAUUGGGUUUUUAAAUGAAAAGGAAGCCUGGGACCUGUUCAAGAAGAAGGCUGGCGACUGUGAUGAAAGUUGCGGUUUGAAGCCUAUAGCUAUGGAGGUAGCCAAAAAAUGUGCAGGACUGCCGAUAGCCAUUGCGACAGUUGCAGGGGCUUUGAGAAACAAAAGAUUGUUUGAAUGGAAGAAUGCUUUACGAGAACUGGAGAGGCCUUCGUCAAGCAACUUCACGGGGAUAGCUGUGGCAUAUUCAGCUAUAGAGUGGAGUUUUAAUUAUUUAGAAAGCGAGGAAGUUAAGCUGACUUUCUUGCUUUGCUGUGUAAUAGGCCAUAAUGGUCUCGUUGAGAACUUGGCAAGAUAUACUUUAGGUUUGGGUUUAUUUGAUGGUGUCCACACUAUGGAAGAAGCUAGAAAUAAAGUAUUGACGGUUGUGGCUAAUCUCAAAGCGUCUGCCUUGUUGCUUGAUGGUUAUAAUGAUAAGCGCUUUGAUAUCCAUGAUGUUGUUUGGGAUGCUGCUAUAGCUAUUGCAUUGAAGGACUACCGUAUGCUUGUUUUGAGAGAUCAUGCUCCAAAGGAGUGGUCCGAUAAGGAGAAAAUGAAGAUGUGGAGUGUGAUCAGCUUACGGUGUCCUCAGAUUAUAGCUAACCUUCCUAAGGAGAUGGAGUGUUCAGGACUUUCCUUUUUCCAUAUGGCCUAUGAUGGCGCGGUUAAAAUUCCUCUCACUUUUUUCAAACAAACCGAAGGCCUCAAAGCCUUGGAUUUGGUCGGAAUGCAGUUUCCAUCCCUCCCUGAAUCAAUUAUUCACCUUGCAGACCUUCGCAUGUUGUGUCUGAAAAAAUGUGCAGUUGAU